UUUGAGACUGGAAAAUGGAGUUGGUUGGAAGUUGCUGCUAUCCUUGUUAUUUCAUAGGUCUACUAUGAUCUGGAAAUUUUGAAAUGUAAAAUGUAGAAUUUAACUAACAACUCAGUCUAGGCAUGAUGUGAUUUCUUGAUAAAAUGUUGAUAUGAUGUUUGAAUGUCAAAUGUUAGAUUUGUAGUUGGAAGCUGAUAUGGAAUGUUGCAGUUUUUACUAAUCAAUCCAGAACUUGGAGAGGAAAUAUUCUUCAAACAAUACUAAAUAAAACUGGAUAUCGAAUGGAGUAACAUUGAAAUUCAAAUCCUAGCUUUAACAAUGAUUAAAACGGGAAUGAAUAUCUUUUUCAAGUACGAGAUUAGAAUGUCGAAAGUCACGGAACUCAAUAAAAUUAGAAAGUUAUAGACCAAAAUUCAUUUUGAAUGACUUUGCUAAUUUCUUUUUUGCAUAUAUCAUAUUUUUACAAAUUUUUUCAUUCUAUAAAAUAAACGUCAAAUUAAGUAACACUCAAUAUGUUGAAUUUAUUCAUGAAUUUAGUAAUUUUUAAAAAUAAUUUAAAAUUCAAAUAAUAAUUUAAUUAAUAUUUGAAAUUUAUGGACUAAAGUUGGGAUGGAACGUUUUUAUUAUUUCUCUUCUACUAUGAAUAACCAUAUUUUUUCCCCAUUUUUAUUUUUAUUUUUUAGAUAGAUAUUGAUGGAGUCUCCUCCAUGUGAAAAAAUAGAUCAUUAGGCAAAACAAUAAUAGAUCAAAUUAUGAGUUCCGAAUUUAGUGUUUCUCCUACCACAUAACUAUGUUUUCUAAUUUUUAUCAUUAGGCAAAUAAAUUCUAGAUUAAGUGAUAUAUGAUUAAUAAUUUAAAAUUUUAAUGAACCUUUUAAUUUUUAAGAAUAAUUUGAAAUUAAAAUUUUUGAUCCAAUUAAUAAUAGAUUAAAUCAAAACAUUCCAGAAUGUUGUGCUCAUAAUUGAGUACUAAAUGUAUGCAUGUGAUGGAAAAUUUAACUUAUUUAUAUAUUUAAAAAGUUAAAAUUUAUUUGUUAUUCAUUUUAAAUAAAAUAUUAUUAACAAUUAUUAUUUUAAAAUUAUUAUCAUCCAUUUUUUACCAAAAAAAAAUUAAUUAUGCUUUUAUGAAGAUAUUAAUAUCCAUGUAUUUUUUAACAUAUAUAUUUUUAAUGAAAAAAAUAUUAUUUAUGAUUUUAUUAUAAUAUUAUUGUUCAUGGUUUACUAAGAACUAUUUAUUCUAUAAUUUAUUUGUAAUCACAAAACUAUUUUAAUUUCUAAUCACUUGAAUUAAAUUUAAUUAAUAUUAUAUAAAUUGAAUUUGCAACGUCUAUACAAAAUCAAAAUAGAAGAAUUAUUUUUAAAUGCAAUUGGUUGAACACCUUUAUUUUUAUAAAAUACUAAAAAAAAUACUUUUUUUUUAAUUUAAAAAACAAAUUUUGAAAAUAACAAUUGAAAAAACAUUGCCAAACCCGUCCAAAAUGUAUUUGAGAAAAUUUCAACAAACAUAUAAUAGCCUAUUUGGCACUGUGAUUUAAAAAUAAAUUUUAAAUUUUUUUUUGUUUUUAUAUAAAAAUAUAAUUUUAAAAAUUCUAAUGUUUUAAAAAGAAGCAUUAGAAAAACAUGGUCAAAUGCACCCAAAAUGUUUGAGAAAAUUUCAACAAACACGUAAGAGUCUAUUUAGCAUUGUGAUUUAAAACCAUUUAUAUAAAAUCCUAAAUAGGUUCAUAGUUUUGGAAAACUGUUCUUUAAUGUUUUAUAAAAUAACAACAUAUUUGGGAAUAUAAAAUAUUUUUAAUUUAUUUUCUAUAUUUUUAAACAUGUUUUAAUGUAAUGCUUUAUUUUUAAUCAUUCUUUAUAUUCAUAUAAUUAUUAUUUUUUUUUAAACUCUCAAAUAACAAGUAAAAACAACUUAAAAUAACUAAAAGAUGUUCUUUGAAAAUAUCUUUCAGUGAUUACUUACAUAAAGGUUCUUAUGUAGGUAACCCUAGAUUACUUUGUUCCUAGACCCUAGAUCAUUAGGGUGCAUAAAAUCCUAUUCUAAGCUCUCUAGAUUUAAGCAUGGUGAAAACAUGGUAUUCAAAACCAAAAAUAAAACUAUAGAUCUAGAGAUUAAAGUCAUCCUUGAGAUAUGUUCCUACAUAGAUUCUUGUUGGUUUAAAAAACUUCAAAAUUGUAGAAGAUCUUGUAAACAUAGUAGUCUUCCACCCAAUAACUCUUCCUUAAGUCUAGGUAUUGAGAUAAUGGAAAUAUGUGGGUUAAAGGCUAGGGUUCUUUCUCGAGACUAAAGGAAGAGAAUGAUAAAAGUAUGAAGUCUUAACCCUUAAGGAAGUAUUUAUUGGUUUUCUACUAGACUUAAGUGACUUAAACCGACUUUAGGUCUGAGACAUUUAAUAUAACCCAAAAAGGGUCAUCAUUGACUAAUUAGCCUAAUUAGGUUUAAAUUAAUCAGUUAGCCCAAUCCAAAGAUGUUGUUUACUUACUCUAUGCAACCAUGUGUAAUUACCAAAAUGCAUUUAUGCACAUAAGUAAAACAAAAACCAAUCCAACCCUCAUAAACCAUGUCAUCAAGAUAUAUGAGUUUAAACAAGGACCAAGUGGGACCCAUAGGAUAAUACUAGCUCCCUUAUAGUCUAAUUUUGAAGUUGACUCAACAUCCUAUUAUAGAUAAUCAAUCGCACUGAAAAACUUUAUAUAUAUUACUACAAGACACUAAGUGUUUGAGUCCGUAACUUGUUAUUCACGGUAUAUAGUCUCUUCAUCAAUUAGUGUUCGUAAUCUAACAAGGUGAAAACUAUUAGCCUUUCAAGAUUACUUCUAUCAUCCUUGAAUUAUAGAUUUUCUUAUUGUAUGUGCUACACAUUUCAUGAUACACAUGUCCUUUUGAUUACCUAGGGGGUCACAUUAUCUCAAAGUCCAUGAGAUAUCAUGGUGUUUUUAUUGAUAAUACUUAUUAAUAUCGACUUUCAUCAACAAUGAUCCAAUCCAUAAGAAAUAUAUGAUCACUUUAGAAUCUCACUUGUAGAUCAAAGUCACUAUUAAUUUUGACACAAACUUAAUAUCCUCUCAAGGUUGAGAGACAAUACAACAUAACAACUUGGUGAAACUAUGAUUAUUUGAUAACCUUACUUCAAGACUCACCAUAGAUCUUGUCUAAUAUGUAACUGUACACGCUAGUGUACUCACCAUGGCAACCUUAUCUCAAUACCAAAGAUCGACCAUUUAUCUAAUUAAGAGGUGAUGCACUACAACGUCAAAUGGAUUGUCUAAAUUCACAAACUAGUUGUGAAUGAAUUAUCUACUUGUAAGGAACUCAUGAUUGUGCAACUUUUAAUAUACUCAAAUCAUGUGCAAUGCAAGAUAUGCUAAGUGAGAAUGCUCAUAAUAAAAAUGUAAUGCAUGAAAUAAGGAUUGAUAAAGGUGAAAUUGAAAUAUCAAUAAAUUCCAAAUCUAUUAUAUCAUGUUAUAUUUUUAAGAAUUUUAUCCUAACAUCUUAAUUGCUAACAAAUUCCAAAUGUUGAAGCUGCAAACACCUUCUUUUCAUUUAUUCAUCAAUGAUGAAAAAAAUAGGAGAUUUUAAAGAGAUGCUUUAAUUCUCGAAAAAAUGGAUGAGAAAAGAGAGCGUAGUGACGAGAUUUAAUUGAUCCACCUCCUCUCCAAGAGCAAAAUGGGAACCAUUUUAGGUUUAUCAUACCUGGGUUCUUAUAAGAAUUUCUUUCCUAAUUAACUCAAAUGUCCCAUAAGUCGGGCCUAUAUUAUUCCGUUACAAUCAAAAUGAGGCCUUAUUUAAUUUUUCAUUUUAUAUUUUUAUUAAAUAAUUAAAAAAUUAUAUAAUAUUAUUUUUAUUAAUAAUUAAUUUCAUUCACAUACCUUAUUUGAAAUUUUAUGAAAUUUAUUGGUGUAUUUAGUCAAAAUAUCGAGGGUGAAUUGUUGAUGCCUCGCGUCCCUUACGAUCCACGCAGUUGCCAAAUGGAUGGAUGCGCGACCUCAACCAAUAUAAGUUCUUGAUUCAGUCGUUAUACCUGCAAAAAGGCAUCCGAACAGGGUGUCCGGACGCACCCUCCGAUGGUUUUGUUAGCCAUGGUUAGAGAGGGAGAUAUAAAUCAGUUGGCCUUUUUCUAGGUAUCAGGAGGUUACCUUCCUUUUUGUGUGAAGGCUUAUAUAUAGUUCCAGGAGUACUGUUCCUCUCAUUAAUGGUGGGAAGAUAUUUUAUGUUGUCAUGAUGAUAUUAGGCGGCAGCAGGGCCAUCAUCACCCUACGGGCGGCUGAUAGAGAUCGUGGUAGGUGAUGCGGCUGUCAGAGAUCGUGGGAAGUGAUCAUGUGGAAUGAUCGUGGGAAGUGACUUGUUGUCACCUCAAUUCGUCCUUUCACACUGCAGGUGACGGGACGUGGGCCAUGGCUGGUUGUUGCGAUAACGUGUAAGACUUGCUUUACUUUAGUCAAUGAUCCGGACAGUCAUAUCCGGAUAGCCCAUGUUGGUUAUCCGGAUGUAUUGUGGAGCGGAUGUAUUAUGGAAUCCGUCCGGAUGUCUUAUGCUUUAUAAGCAUCGUUUGCUCUUCCUUGAGGCAGUCCGGAUAGGAGAAGCGCGCCAUGUGCGUUCUUAGAGAAAUCCGGAUGAUGGCGAUCCGGUUGAUAAUGCGUGCCACGUGUCUCUGUGAGAUGCGUGCCACGUGUUUCUCGGAGGGAAGGGUCCCUACAUUGCCCCCCUUUUUAACUUGCCUAUUUUGCCUAAGUAAAAAUGGGCGGGUUAAAAAUAAUUGGUUUUUUGAAACUGAAGUCGUCUUUUUGUCUGGUUUGGGCCACGUGGCGAGUGGGGGUGCGGGAGCCAAAAAAGGCAUUUAUGAUGAGCCGCCGACUCUGGAUAUUCCCAGGCAGCAUGUCGUUUCAAUGAUGACGUAGCUGUUCGUUUGGUUUUCCGAGGGGUUGUCUCCCUAUAAAUAGCAUACUGUGCCUUCUGUUGUAUUUUUCCUACUGCAUUUUCCUGAGAGCUUCUUUCUAUGUUCUCCUUUGUUUUUCUGAGUGGAAACCCUAGAAUUUUUUUCUGCCGGUGAUUUUGUGUCGCAACAGCAACCUUUCUUCUUCAGAUUUCCACUUGGUACGUGCAUUUUGCUCUUGUUUUUCCCUUUGUUGCACUUGUUGUUCAUUGGUUUCGUUUCUGACUUGUUGAGGCAAGCCGCUUGCUACUGUGUGUGGAAUGUUGGUAUUUGUUGGUUUUCUGAGGUUUUUUUAGGGUGUUUUUGACUAUUUUUGGUUAGGGUUUGUGAGUUUUCUGGAUUGCUGUGUUUGACUGUUGCGCUUUUUGUAUGUAGAUUUCGGUUCAUCCUCGGGCUAAGAAAUGUCUGCAAAGAAAACUGUCUCGUCUGUCCGGGCCGGCGAUGCUCGUGAGAAACCUACAGACAAACUGAAUGUGAAGGAGUUCCGGGAUCGGUUCUUCAUCCCAAAUGGCGUGAUUGUGGAAUUGUUGAAUGAGGAGGAGCUUGUGUCGACUGAGAAAGCUGAAGAACAUGCCAUCAUUUUCUCAAAAGAGCAAUUAAACGCGGGGCUCCGGUUCCCUCUUCCGGCGUUGUUAAAGGAAUUCCUCCAUUUCUCCCAGAUUCCACCCGCCUUCAUUCACCCCAACAUAGUCCGGGUGUUGAUGGGAUGCAGCAUUAUAAACAUGCUGUACAAUCUCGACCUCACGCUACUGGAGGUUUUUUUUGUCUACUCCCUGAAGAAGGGAAAAAAUGACAUCUUUAGCAUGUCCGCUCACCUGCCCUCCCUUCAAUUGGUGACGGAGCUGCCGAAUUCGACGAAGGGAGGGGCGAAGGGACACGUGGUGGUCCGGGGUGCGUGGGCAGGGCUAUUGGAGCAUCCGACGAGGCCUUUUUCUCCAAACUACUCCACAGUGCUUCCGGGUAAGUUUGCUUGUGGGUUUUGUCCGGCUUUUACCUUGUUGUCUUUUUGUUGAUCUUUCCAGAUGGCAUUCUUAUCUUUUGUUGCUGACAAUGCAGGUCCGGAAAGGAGGGGCCACAUAGUUGACUGGGUAGAAAAGGCGUCUUUUGCCUGUCUCAAUAAAUUAUUUGAGAUAGACGCUAGGGAGAGGCAUUAUGGGACGCUGCUCACUGCGCGGAACCUAAUGGCCAUCGUCCGGGAGUCCCAGGAGUAUGUCGUCAACAUUCUCCCCAGGAAGCUGCCAAAGGAGGUAGUGUCUGGGGAGCAUUACAUUCUGAAGGAUCUCCCUGUCUACAAGGAGGCAAAAAAAGCUGAUGCUGAAAAACGCCGAGCACUCCUUGAUGAUCGGGAGAAGAGAAAAAACGAGGGAACUCUACGGAAGGCUCCUGGACAGAAACGCAGCGCAGCCUCCCCUCCAAGGAAAGCCCCAGCGACAAAGAGGAAACUGGUAAAAAAUGGGAAGGGAGUGAAGGAGUCCACUCCUCCAAGGGAAUUUGUUCCUCCGCCUAUUACUCAUGAGGCGGAGGUAAUAAUAGAGGAGCCAAUGAACCCUGCUCCCCACUCUAUUUCAAGUGGUUCCGGACACGUUGCGAGCCUGAACCAUUCGGGGCCCUGCUUGUCAGCGGUUGCCCAUUUUGCUACUUUGGUUGAGGAAGCUGCGUCCAUCAAUCAGCCCGGCUCCCCCCAUUCGGAUGCCGAUGCAGCUAGGGUCCUUUGUGCGACUCCAAUGGAGGAAACGGGGGCAGAAAACCAGAGUCAUCCCUCUGGCGAUCCAAGCUGUCUCGCUCUUGUUCCGGUGAAGGGGUCACCUUCAAAGAGGCCGCGCUCGACGCGUAAUCUAAGGUCCGGACUCAUCGGGCGGCUUCAAGAUCGAUUGCAAGAGAUUGAAUUUAGUUGUUCAUCCGCCUAAGAUGCUCAUCUGGAGGGGAGUGAGGUGGAGAUGGCGACUGAGACUCCAACCGUCCCGGUGGUGGUUCCGGAUGAGGGUGCACCCGGAGAGACCCAUCAGGCUGAUAAUGCUGCGGCCCCGGAUUCGGAAGAGGAGUCGCCCUCUAUUGCCUCAUCAGGGGGGAAUCCUGUUGAUGAUGCGGCUUGCACCCCCGCUAGCCCUUUUAGCUACGCGGAGUUGGAAGAGAAGCUGAAACAGAUUCCACCUGGCUCGACUGUUGUCAAGCCUUCUGCCCAGAUGUUUGAAAUGGUGGAAAUGGUACACUAUUCUUUGUGCUUCUUGAUUUUUGUCACGCUGAUGUGUUUGUGGUAUGACUUCUAAUUUCGCUUUUCUUGCUUGUGUGCUUGUAUGCAGCUGGUAAGUGGUCUUCGUGGCAUGGCUCAACAACACGAUUUAUUCACUGACUUGCUACGAACCACUGAUUACAUGAAGGCCUUCGCGUCUCGGCGUAAAAAUAGUGAAGAUCAGCUGCGCUUGAGACUGGAGGAGGCCGAAACCAGUUUAUCCACCGCUCGAGAGGACAACGAAGCUCUCCGGGCGGACUUGGCUGAGGUAAAGAGUCGGGAGGAGUCAACGGUCGUCCGCUUGUAUGAGGCAGAGGAUGAGGUGGCCCGGCUGAGGGGGGAGGUGAGGCAACUCCGGACAGAGGCUUCAAUUGAAAAGAAGCAGAAAGAAGAUUUGCAGCUACGCUUAACAGCGCAAAAAGAAGAGCUAGAGCGGGAGUUUGUUGUAGAGAGGGAGGAGCUUGAAGCGGACUAUCAAAAACAAGUGGAUGAUACGUUCUUCUUCGGCUAUCGCUGCUGUAUGAAAAAAAAUGGCAUAAAGCGAGAUGUCUCUUCAAUUCCUUCAGGUGAAGAGAAGAAACUUCUAGACAAGCCUGCUCCCUGAUAGCUUUUCUUUUUGCAAUUUUUUCUGUAAUCUUCUUUCUGUAUUUUUUGUGGUCCGGAGACCUAAUUGUACACAUGUUUACAAGUAUCAAUAAAAUGUUGUUUUCUCUCACUUGCACUUGUCUUGCUUUUUCAUUGAUAAUACUAUUUUAAAUUGGACACGUUCCAUGGUCUAAGUAAUAGAGUUCCGUCCAGCUUUUGUAGAUGAUAGGCUCCACUUUCACUUGCCUUAGACACUAUAUAGGGUCCUUCCCAGUUGGCUUGGAAUUUCCCUGCGCCUAUUUCAGCAGUGUUUUCAAAAACUUUUCUAAGGAUUAGCGUACCAUUUUUGAAGCUUCUGGGUCUUAUUUUGCGAUUGUAAUGGGCGGAUGCUCUUUGUUGAUAGUCUGCCAUCCGGAUGGCUGCGCUUUCCCUUAUUUCAUCUGCCCAAUCCAAGUUUCUUCCCAAUUCUGUGUUUGCAUCUUUCUGCUUUGCUACGUCAGUCCGGAUAGUAGGUAGACCUGUUUCAGUAGGAAUGACUGCAUCCAUUCCGUAUGCGAGGGCAAAAGGAGUGUUUCCUGUUGGUCGUCCGGGUGUGGUUCGAUAGGCUCAUAGGACGCCGGGUAGCUCCUCCACUCAUUUCCCUUUGGCUUGCUCGAGCCUCUUUUUUAAGGCAGUGAUUAGGGUCUUGUUUGUGGCUUCUGCUUGCCCGUUACUUUGAGGAUAACGCGAUGUGGAGUACGAAUUCCGGAUGUUCAGCUCUGAACAGAAAUUCCUGAAUGCGAUGCUAUCAAAUUGUGGACCAUUGUCAGCUAUGAUGGUUUGGGGAAUUCCAAAACUGCAAACAAUGUUUUUCCAUACGAACUUGGUGACAUCUUUGUCUUUGAUGCUAGCAUAUGCUUCAGCUUCCACCCAUUUACUAAAGUAAUCAGUGGCGACAAGGAGGAACUUCUUCUGAGCAGGUGCUGCUGGGAGGGGUCCUACUAUGUCUAUGCCCCAUUGCGCAAAGGGCCAUGGGCCUGAGAUUGACUUCAAUGUUGCUGACGGCAUAUGUGGAAUGGGAGCAUACCUUUGACAUUUAUCACAUUUUUUUACAUGGGUUGCCGCAUCUUGCUUCAUUGUUGGCUAAUAAUAUCCUUGCGAAUGGGCUCUAUGUGCCAGAGAUCGUCCUCCUGAAUGAUUCCCGCAUAUUCCCUCAUGUAACUCAGCUAACACAUACUGGGCCUCUGAAUGCCCUAGGCAUCGAAGGUAAGGUCCUGUGAAGGAUCGCUUGUACAGGUGCCCCCCAAUCAGGGUGAAACGGGCAGCUUGCACCCGGACUUUGUGUGCCUGUUUGGGAUCUCCGGGUAGAGUGCCUGUCUGGAUAUAUUCUGCGAUGUUGUAUGUCCAUUCUUGGCUAUCCGCUUGGUUUGCCUCAAUGGUAUUGCAAGUGGAGAUCUUUGCGACAGAGGGGUUGGUUUGCACAUGUAUAGGCAAUAGAAUAGCUUCUUUGAUAGGGAGGGAGGCAGUUAUGCCGGCCAAGGCGUCAAUGCGCCCAUUUUUAGUUCGCUUGAUUUUUUCGAUUGUCCAUUCGGUGAAUUGCUGCAAGGUAUUCCUUACUUUAGCUAAGUAUCGCGCCAUGCGUGCGUCCUUAGCCUCAUAUUCAUUCUGGACGUGCCUUACCACGAGUUGCGAAUCACUGUAGAUCCAGAGUUUGGAGAUGGAUAGAGCAAGGGCGAGGUCCAAUCCAGACAAGAUAGCCUCGUAUUCUGCUUCAUUGUUAGAGGCAGAGAAUCCCAAUCGGAUGGCUUGCGCCAGAUGUUCCCCAGUUGGGGACUGUAGUGGAAGCCCAACUCCAGAUCCUGAUGAUCGUGAGGCUCCGUCAACUCGCAGAGUCCACCAUUUUUGUUCACUUGAUUCUUGGUGUUGGCUAGGUCUUCGGGAAUAUUCUAGCACGAAGUCAGCCAUUACUUGGCCUUUCAUGGACAAUCUGUUGGAAUUCGAUUCCAAACUCGCUCAAUUCGAUGGCCCAUUGCAGCAUUCUCCCGGUUAAGUUUGGCUUGUGCAGAAUGUUACGAAGGGGAUGGUCGGUCAGCACGAUCACUGGGUGGGCUUGGAAAUAGGGGCAGAGCUUUUGGGCAGCGCUUCGGAGGGCUAAGGUUGUUAGCUCCAUUUUUGAAUACAUGGUUUCUACGUCCGCCAAUGCUCUGCUAACGUAGUAGAUUGGUUUCUGCUCCUUGGGUGAGGGGCAGCGGAAUAGAAUGGCGCUGAUUGCCCAUUCUGACACAGCCAGAUAUAUGUAUAAUUUCUCUUUUGGGAUGGGACUGCUUAGGAUGGGUGGCUGCAUGAGACAGUGUUUAAUUUUCUCAAAAGCAUUUUGACAAUUGUCCGUCCAUCCGUGUGUUCCAGCCUUUUGUAUUGCCAAGAAGAAGGGUCGCAAUUCAUCAAUGAAGCGGGCUAUGAAACGCCCUAGUGCAACGAGCUUGCCUGUGAGGCGUUGCAACGCCUUUUUGUUCCUAGGGGGAGGUGUUCCCAUGACUGCCUUGACUUGAUCCGGGCUAACCUCUAUCCCUCUUUGGCUGACCAUAAAUCCCAGAAAUUUGCCAGCACUUACGCCAAAGGCGCAUUUAGAAGGAUUUAGCUUCAUGUCAUACUUUCUUAAGAGGUGAAAAACUUCCUGCAAGUGAAGAACAUGUUCCUCUCGGGUUUUUCUUUUAACCACUAUAUCAUCAAUAUAUACCUCUACCGUGUGGCCUAUCAAAGGUUUAAAGAUUUUCGUCAUCAAUCUUUGGUAAGUGGCGCCAGCGUUUUUGAGUUCGAACGACAUGACUUUGUAGCAAUAGAGGCCGUGUGGCGUUAUGAAUGCUGUCUUUUCCUCGUCAGCCGGGGACAUGGGAAUCUGGUAAUAUCCGGAGAAGGCAUCUAAGAAAGAGAGCAUCCCUUGCCCGGCAGUGGAAUCCAUAAUUUGAUCUAUUCGUGGCAAAGGGAAACUGUCUUUUGGACAUGCAUUGUUAAGAUUAGUGUAAUCUACACAAACUCACCAUUUUCCUUCUUUUUUGGGUACCACCACUACGUUUGCCAACCAAUCCGGAUAAGAUACUUCUCUGAUGAAUCCGGCUUCUAGCAAUUUGUUAAUCUCAUUCCGGAUGACUUUUUUUCUGUCCGGAUGGAAGCGUCUAAUCUUCUGUCGGACGGGUCUAGCAGUUGAAAAGACGUUAAGCUUGUGAGAGGCAAUAGAGGGAUGAAUUCCCUUCAUAUCAGAAUGUGUCCAUGUGAAGAUGUCAUGAUUUCGUCUAAGGACGUUUUGCAUGGUCUUAGUUUCUUCGGACGUCAUGAGGGAACUGACGUUCGUGAGGUGAGUAUUUUCGUCCGAGAUUUGGAUUGUUUGUAAGGGAUCUGCUGCUGAGGGAUCUUUGUCCACCGGACCCAAUAAUUGCUAUUGGUCAUGUGUAUGGCUGGGUUCAGGGGGAGAUGCCUCCUCCUGGUUGGCUCCUGCUUCUCGUGCUAUCUGAUAGCAUUGGUGAGCGGCCAGCUGGCUGCCAUAUAGGUCAAUUUGCCCUUCGUUGGUGAGGAAACUCACCAUUUGAUGAUAUGUAGAGGGGAUGGCUUUCAUGUAGUGUAGCCAUGUGCGCCUUAAGAUGAUAUUGAAGGGUGAUAACUCUUGUACCACCGAGAAUUGUACGUUGAGAGUGACUAGGCCGGCUUGGACUGGCAGUAUGAUGUCUCCCAAGGACGUUGUUGACGACCCGUUGAAUCCAGACAGGAUUCGUCCAGGGUUUUCAAGGCCUGUGAGACUGUGUCCCAUGUGGCUAACGACCGAUGCUUGUACAAGAUCGGCCGAGCUGCCUAGGUCAACUAAGAUACGCCGCACAUCGAAGUCUCCUAUUUCCAGGGACAAGAUGAGGGCGUCGCGAUGUGGUUGUAGUGUCCGGGUGGGAUCUACUGGUGGAAAGAUGAUUGUUCCGUCUAUGGGGCGAGGGCCCUCUCCAGUUAGUCCAGGCCGGAUGGAAUUAAUGCAUUCGCGUAUUGAUGCGGCUCGCAACAGUUUCUGUCUUUUUCGCCUGGAGUCAUACUCCUCAUCGGAUGGUCCUCCGUUAAUAUAGUUUAUAACGGCCUUAGGGGCGGCUGGGGCCCUAGGGGUUCCAGAGUUGUGAUACUGAGAAGCAUCUCUACCCCCAAUGUCCGAGCGGAGGUAUUGUUUUAAAUGUCCUGCUUUGAUGAGCCUCUCGACCAGAUACUAGAGGGACCGGCAUGUCUCUGUUGUAUGACCAUGGUCCUUGUGAAAGGCACAUCUCUUGCUGCGGUCUCUCGUGGAUGGGUCCGUUCCGAUGGGUCUAGGCCACUUGAAGUCGAACAAGCCUUGGAUCAUUGGGAGAAGUUUUUCAUACGAUAUGGAGAGAAGUGUGAGAGGCGGCCUAUCCGGGCGACUCGGUCCCUCUUGCCUUCGAUCGGACGGCCCUGGCCGAUCUGGAGGUUUAGCAUUUUUGUCCGCGUCACCUUUAGAUGCCCGUCCGACAACUAAAACUUGCUGAGUGGCUGCAUGCACGUCAUCUUCGAGCAUUGAAUAUUUGUUGGCACGUUUAAAUAAGUCAUCCAUUGUUGUAGGAGGCUUUUUGGCUAGUGAUUAGAAAAAUGGAGUGCCUGGACAGAUGCUUCGCUUGAAGAUCUGUAGGACAGCAUCCAUGCUGCAAGCCUCUACUUGAAGUACGGCUUGGCCAAACCGCUUCACAAAUUCCCUCAAGGAUUCGUUAUCUUGCAUUUUUAUGUUCUGCAGGGUGCUGAUAUUUUGCUUGUGUCGAGCGGAGCACAAGUAUUGUCCCAUGAAAGCUUCGGACAGGUCCCUGAAAUUGUCAACAGAGUUGGGAGGUAGGCAAUGAAACCAUGAGAGGGCCUGCCCUUGUAGGCUGGCGGGGAACACUUUGCAUAGUAGCUCAUCGUUGCCAAUAUCGAGCGUCAUAAGCUGUCGAUAGUGCAUGAUGUGAUCGAAGGGAUCGUUGGUUCCAUCGUAUGUGGAAAAUUUUGGUACAAGGAAUCCCCUUGGGGGCUCGUAAUGAAUGAUAUGAGAGCAGAAGGGCGUGGAGAGCAUGUCAUCCAGCCUUUUGCUGAUGGAGCCAAUGGGUGGCUCGUUUGGGAGGUUUCUCCCAGUCGGUUGUUCCGCUAGGUGCGAGUGAACAUUCCGCAUCAUGGGGGUGACCAGGGGGUCACGAUGCGGGUGCACGUUCUGCACCAUGGGGGUGACCAUAGGGUCAGGGCGUGGUGCCCAGGUUGUGGCUACUGGUGGCCUUGAUCUCCCAGGCUCUUGUGGGCCUAGUCUUGCGCGCAUCGAAUUUAACAACUGAGAUUUUCUAUCACGUUGUCUUUUUGCUGAAAAAUGAGUAGAGUCUGAGCUUUCCUCACGGGGAGCUCAAGGCAUAGGCGUGUGUGGCUCAUGAGGCCUCACGCUGCAUGUUCCUGGGAUAGCUCCUGCUGUCCCAGGAUAUAUUGAUUCUGGUUCUGGCCUUGAGUUUGCUACUUGGCCUCUUGAACGCUGACGACGAGGAGGCCUUGAUGUUGAAGCCUGGAUGCGUAAUACAGCGUUUUCCUCUCUUAAUCUCUCUAUCUCCUGGAAGAGAGCUUUCAGUUGUCGCUCGCUUGCCAAUUGUCUCCUUUCGAUGGCCUGACGCCAUUCAAAAUUAUCAUCUCCUCCCCUACCAGAUGAACGGCUUCGGGAAGGUGUGGCCAUCUUUGCUAGUGACUGAAUCAAAUGAAAAUAGGGUUCCCACAGACGACGCCAAUGUUGAUGCCUCGCGUCCCUGACGAUCCACGUAGUUGCCAAAUGGAUGGAUGCGCGACCUCAACCAAUAUAAGUGCUUGAUUCAGUCGUUAUACCUGCAAAAAGGCAUCCGGACAGGGUGUCCGGACGCACCCUCCGAUGGUUUUGUUAGCCAUGAUUAGAGAGGGAGAUAUAAAUCAAUUGGUUUUUUUCUAGGUAUCAGGAGGUUACCUUCCUUUUCGUGUGAAGGCUUAUAUAUAGUUCCAGGAGUACUAUUCCUCUCAUUAAUGGUGGGAAGAUAUUUUAUGUUGUCAUGAUGACAUUAGGCGGUAGUAGGGCCAUCAUCACCCUACGGGCGGCUGACAGAGAUCGUGGGAAGUGAUCAUGUGGAAUGAUCGUGGGAAGUGACUUGUUGUCACCUCAAUUCGUCCUUUCACACUGCAGGUGACGGGACGUGGGCCAUGGCUGGUUGUUGCGAUAACGUGUAAGACUUGCUUUACUUUAGUCAAUGAUCCGGACAAUCAUAUCCGGAUAGCCCAUGUUGGUUAUCCGGAUGUAUUGUGGAGCGGAUGUAUUAUGGAAUCCGUUCGGAUGUCUUAUGCUUUAUAAGCAUCGUUUGCUCUUCCUUGAGGCAGUCCGGAUAGGAGAAGCACGCCAUGUGCGUUCUUAGAGAAAUCCGGAUGAUGGCGAUCUGGUUGAUAAUGCGUGUCACGUGUCUCUGUGAGAUGCGUGCCACGUGUUUCUCGGAGGGAGGGGUCCCUACAUGAAUGACAUGUAAGUGGAUAAUUUUAAAAAGUUAUAUAAUAUAAUUUUAUUAUCUGGCCCUUCCACGUAACUCGUAGGUGCCAUUCAUUUCUCCACAAAGCGAAGAGCUUUUCAUAGUCUGCAUCUAUCAUAAGCAAAAAAUAAUUUAGGGUUAUUUGAUUAAAAAAGCUUUUUUGAUAUCAUUUAGACAAAAAUAUCCUUAUUAUUUUCUUGUAAAAAUAAUAUUUUCUUUUAAAAUCUACAUGUAAAUACUUAAAAUAGAAAAGAGCAUUUAUGUCAAAAAUAGAUUACUUUUCUAGAAAAAAACAUGGAAAAUGUUAGAUUUCAAAUUUGGGAUUAUUUCAUCCCUUUUAACCAAAUAUUUCAAAAAUUUUGCUUAGAGCAUCGAAGCCAUGACAUUCCGAAUCAGAAAGGCUAGGGUUUCGCUAAAACUGCCCUCUCAUCCCACUCAUUCCCAGUCCCAGGUUACUUCUUAUUUUCAUUUUUUUUUUCAUUUCACUUCAUUCGAUAUCAUGCACUGAUUUUCUUUCUCUAUUUUGAUUCAAUGGAAAAAGCUGAUUAUUUCAUUCGUUUCUUUUUUUUUUUCUUCGAUUAUUUAUUUAUUUUAAUGACUCCGUAAAGAACUGAUUAUUCAAUUCGCGUGAAUACCAUGGCGUCAUUUUCCUUUUUGGGUUUCAUUUUCAAUUUUUGAUUCAGUAGAGAAGGCAGAUAAUUUGAUUCAAUUCGACUCAGGGCGUGAUUUCCUCUUUUCGAUUUCAUUUUCCAUUUUUGAUUCAAUAGGGAUAACUGACUAUUUCUAUUCGUUUUAAUAUCAGAGCGUAGUUUCUAGGGUUUCAUUUUGCAUUUUUGAUAAAGAAGAGAAAAGUAAUAAUUCACUUGAUUUCAAUAUCAUCGCGUGGUUUUCUUUCUGGCUUUCAUUUUCAGUUUUUGAUAUGCUUGAGAAAACAGAUUAUCUAAUUCAUUUAAAUAUCAUGGCGUGGUUUUCUUUCUUGGGUUUCUUUUUCAAUAUUCGAUUCAGUAGAGAAAACCGAUAAUUCAAUUGAUUUUAACAUCAUGGCAUGAUUACCUUCUUGGAUGGUUUAUCCUCAGAUUUUUUUUUUAAGUUUUAUUUUUAUUUUUAAUUCAUCAGAGAAAAUCAACGAUACAAUUCAUUGAAAGAUUGUGGCACAGUCUUAUUCUUGGGUUUCCUUAGGGGUUUUUUAUCCAUGAUAAAAAAACUGAUUAUUCAAUUCAUUUUUAUAUCAUGGUGUGGUUUUCGUUUCUUUGGUUUUAUUUUCAAUUUUUUUAUAUUAUUCUAUUCAUUUUAAUAUCGUUUCAGAUUUCUUGGGUUUCACUUCCAAUUUUUUGUUCAGCAGGGAAUAAGAAAACUGAUUACUCAUUUCAUUUUAUUAUCGUGGCAUGAUUUUCUUUCUUGCUUUUUAUUUGAAUUUUUUUUUCAUUGGAGGAAAUGGAUAAUUCACUUCUUUUAAAUACCACGAUGUGAUUCUUUGAUUUUCUUUCUCAGGUUCUUUUUUUGUACAGGAAAUUUAUAAGUUUUUUUUUCCUCAUUUUAUUUUCUUUAUUUUGGAAUUGGGAAUUAAAGGACACAAAUAAUCAGAGACCUGCUCAGGCUGAACCUGUCAUGGAUGGAGGUGAUUGGAAGACUCAUCUUUCUGCUGAUUCACGCCAUAGGAUUGUCAAUAAAAUGUGAGUGUUUUAUUUCAAUUACCAAAUGCAAAUGUUUUGAGGAUCUUGGGAAAGUUCUAGUGUUGGAACUUAAAACUGCUUUUCAAUAGGAAUUCUUGAUAUUGGUUAGGGUUUGAAACUACUGUUCUUGGAUACACAAAUUCCUUUUUACUUGUAUUUUAGACUUUGCUUAAAGAUACAUGAUUCAUUAAUCUUUAAAUUCCAAGAGGUUAUUUGUUUUUAAGACAAUAAAGAUACAGUCAAAUUUUCUUUCGGAAAGAUUACUGGGGAAGCAGCUAAAUUUGUCUGAGCUCUUGUUAAAAUGAAUAUUUUUGGCUUGUAUUUGGAUGCAUGUACAAUUUCAUUUUGUGUGGUUUUACAUUUCGAAGUUUUGAGAACAUAUUUUGAUUUGUGCAAGUAUUCCUUUUGAAGUUUCACAUUUCUCUUGGCUUGUAUUUGGAUGCAUGUGCAAUUUCAUUUUGCUUGUUUUUAUAUUUUGAAGUUUUGAGCUAAAAAAUAUUUUGAUUUGUGCAAGUGUUCCUUUUGAAAUUUCACAUUUUCUCGCCUUAUAUUUUAUUGACUAUUAGCUUUCAAUUUUAACUGAUGAAGGUGAUGUCAGUUAGAAUUUCAUAGGUGCAGAAUAUAAAGAAUGUACUGUAAUAUUGCCAAAUAAGGAGGAGAGGUUGUGGCAAGAAAAUGAGGAUGCCUGUAUCUUAGCCUCACUCUGUGUAAUUACACAUUAUAUAAAAAUUAUUAAAUCAUUUAAAAGAUUCUUGACAGAAGAAAGAGUGAUGAUAGGGGAAAAAGUUAGAAAGAAAUGAAGCAACUUAUUCCUUGUUGUUGUUGAUAAAAACUUUUUCGUCAUGGUUGAUUAUGCCACCAUAUAUUUGAUUUUGAAGUUGUCACUGAUAUGCAUUUAUCCUCUGCACUUGGGUCUUAAUGAGACCAUUCUGGUGCUUGUACAGUAGAACAGUCCUCUUUUUUUAUAGAAUGCUAUAUUCAGCUUUGAAGGUGAUCUAGAACACAUGUACAAAUGAUCAUGAACAGCCUAGUUGUAUGAUGUGGCUAUUCAUAUGGCAAUGCUAGCAUGAUGAUUUGGUAUUCCACAAGGUUCUCAAGUCAUUAAGUUUAAGCUGUUAAGAUUUGGAUCCAUAAUCAUGCUCUAACAUCCUUUUCAUGAGUCCCCAUGCUAUGAUCACACACAUGGACCAUUCUCGUUAUGAGACUCAAAAACCACAAUAGUGACAAAGAAAUCACACAUUUGUGAUCAUGUAUGAUCACACACCUCUCAAAUUGCAAUAGUGAUAGACAAACGUAUAUCAUGUUGUAACACCCCCCUCAAACACAUUCCUGUACCCACCUUGGGUGUGAGAGACAAACUAUAGUAGUAGUAACAGACAAAUCACACAUUUUCUAUUGCAUGCAUGUGGCCCUAUACCUGCCAUGAGAGACAUAAAUCAUGGUAGUAGCAAACAAAUCUCAACCCUCCCAAAUCAUAGUAGUGGUAGAUAAAUCAUACAUUUGUGAUUACACAUAAUUAGACAAAUAAAUAAAUGGGGGAGUGAUUUCAACUCGAGACCUCUGAAUAACCUAAAAUAUGAUACUGUUAAGUAAUCAAUUUUCGUCAAAGUUUUGAGUUAUCAAGAAUUGGACCCAUAUUGUAUAUUAUAUUCUAACAAAAGCAAUAUUAGUCUAGGUUAAGCUAGUCUACAUAGGUGGUCUAAAAAUAUUCUUGACCUCUAACCUCCAAACCAGUUUCUCCUAUUGGCAAGAAAUAAGUAUAGUGACCAAAGAACUUGCUUUAAUCCUUGGUCUAAUUACUGGAAUUCCAUGAAUUGUUUGGGGGAAUAUAAUUGAAUUUCAUUGAUUCUUGUAUUUGGGAGUUCAAGCCAGGCAAGACACAAUAAGUUCUUGUGAGCAUGUUAGGUACAUUAAAAAUCAAUACAUGAGGAAGUUCAAGUAUGAUCAUUACAAAACAGGAACGAGAAAAAAGGUAUUAGAACCUGGAGUAAAUUGCAGGAGACAAUCUUUUGUGUUUGACUUGUUCAAAGGAAGGGAUGCAAGCAUGGAAUCCUAUUAGUUAACCAGCUUUCUGGUUGUCUUACUCUCAAACCCUCUCUUAUUAUGGGAUGAUAGUCCCUUUCCUUCCUUAAUAAAAAUAUUCUAUUUACUAUAAAUUCCUUGUUUCAUGCAAUAUUGUUUUCUCGUUGGAAAUUUAUGUGACAUGGUCAGUGCACAACUAGCAUGAUUUCCUAUUGAAGAGUUUUAUUUUUUUUGUUUUUAAAACUUUGCAAUGAUUACAUGACAAUAAUUUAUCACAAUUUGAUGUUUUUUUAUGUCUAGCAUGGAGACAUUGAAGAGACAUCUUCCUGUUUAUGGACCAGAGGGACUGCAUGAGCUAAGGAAAAUUGCUGAAAGGUUUGAGGAAAAGAUUUAUUCUGCUGCCACAAGCCAGGUAUAUCCAUCAUGCUAGUAUUUACUCAACCAUUCCUCAAGGCCUAUGAGCAUUUUUUGUAUCUAUCCUUAGUAUAAAAGAUUAAAGUGCAAAACUUAUAUUAUAUUAUCUUAGUUUGUCAUUCAUAAUUUGAUGAAUUGAUAUAUUUUUUAUUUUUACCUCUAAUUCAGUCUGAUUACCUCCGGAAAAUAUCUUUGAAGAUGCUGACAAUGGAAACAAAAUCUUUUAAUGCUGCAACCAAUUCUCUGCCAUCCAACUCUGCUGGUCACAGCAAGAAAUCCUCUGCUAGGAAAAAAUCCCUCAGAUCCAGGUAAUAACAUUAAGGAGCAAUGUGUUUUUUAUGAAAUGCAACAGUCAAAAAUUUGCUUCUAUGGAAUGCAACAGUGGAAAUUUUGCUUUUUAUGAAAUGCAAUGAUGGAAGUUUUGCUUUCAUGAAAUGCCACAAUAGAAGUUUAGCUAGCACAUCAAUAUAUUCUUCUCCAUUUUGUAGUUACACUUGACAUGCAUUACAUUUAUUGUGUGCACCCAUGUAUUAUGUGUGUACACACGUGUAUAAUUCUUUUUCUAUUACCAUGGCUACACAUUCCUCUUGUUAGGCAAUAAAAAAUUUGUAUCUGAGCUUAAUUUAUGUAGGACAAUUUGUAUUGAAUUGGGUAUGGAAGCAGCCAGUGGCUGCUUCUUUCCCCCCCUUUUCUCUGGGUUGGAGGGUAGGGUUAUGGAAAGGAGUAUGGAAUUAAUUGGAGCAAUGGUCUAUGAUCUGAGCUCCUGCAAGCACAAAGGAGGGGUGCGUAUGGGAGUAGCUUGCUACUUCUUUUUUUCCCCUUUCCUUUGGAUUGGAUUGGGGGGUAGGGAUAAGGUUGUGUGUCAGCAUCUUGACUUGGAUGAUACGGUACCAAGGCGACAUUGAAUGACACUUUGCACCCAUGAGUGCCUAUUCAGCAAGCAAGCUGAUGGACCAAGGUUUGAUGAGAGAUCAUGUGAAGGCUUGGUUGCUGCUCAAGCAGGCAGCAGAUGACACGUAGGCUAGCAUGUGGGGCAGCUUGACUUAGCCAAAAUUCAAGUGUUUGAUUUUAGGUCGCCAGUAUUUCCCUUCAAAGAUGAGGUCCUAAGAAUGGUUUCCAUGAGGAAUUAUAAUUUCUUCAGAUUUUUCAUUUUUUUUAGAGAAUUCAUUAUGCAUACUCAAGCACAUAUGAUGUGUCCCAGUAUUUUGGAAAUGGCUUAGAAUGUUUUUUGUGGAGAGGGUAGUUGACUCAAAGGUGGUGAGGAUUGCAUGAACUAUGCGAUGUAAAGAGCAUGGUGUAGGGGCAUAACAAUACACCUCUUUGGAGAUAAACUAUGUUGGUUUAUGUAAGAUUUGGUGUGGUACUUCUAUACCUUUCUUAUUCGUAUCUUGGUCAUAAGCUAGAAUGAGAGCCCUAGAAUAGAGAAACAACUUGAUAAGUGGCCCAGAGCCACAAUAAGAGAUAUUUUAAAUUUAUUUAUAAUUAUCGCAUGAGAUAAUCAGUGGUGUGUUUAUCGAGCUCUUUAAAUUUGAUUUUCGAAAACCCAUCCUUUAUCUCAUAGGCUCUAUAACUAGGAGUUACUCUCCUUCUCUUAAAUGUUUUGAGAAGCUGAGUAAAUAGAAUUGCUUGAGAGAGAGGGUCUCUUUUUUCAUUGAUCAAGAGAUUUUUAGGCUAUGGAAAUAUAGUGUAUGCUCUAUGGCAUCACUGUUUGGGUGUUAGUAUUGCGAGGAAUGGCAGCGCAUUCAAUUGAGACUUCUGCUUCAGUCAAGUAUGCUAAUUUUAUGAUCCUUUAAUUUUCUUUAAAUGUCCUAACAUAAUUAUGUUGUUUAUGAUUAAAUUCUUAACAAGUGGGAAAACCAAUCCCGAGAAUUAUUCUAAUUUUUUCCCCAAUAAAUUUGUCCAUUACUUUAACAUCCGUUACAUAUUUGAAAGAACUAAAAUCCUACCUCAUAGGGCAUAUAGUUCUCACUAACUCCCAUUUUCUGGAGGGUUACUCAAUGAGUUGACAGCAUUACUGUACUGACCUAAGUUUCUGAAAUAACCAAUUUCGAGUUUCCCAUGUUCCAACAACCUAUAUUUACCAUUAAAAUUGUCUUUUGUUGGACUCGAUUUCCUACCUCAUAGGACACUAUCAUCUAAAUGAUGCCUUGCUUUUUUCACUCACUCUACCCAUUUGCCAGGAAGCCAGGAACCCAUGAAAAUGAGGGUGCAUUCUUUUUCUUAUCCAUUUUCUGUGACAAACUUUGAAUUUUAGGGUAUUCUCCAGUUUAUGACCUUUAUCACACCUCCUUGAAAUACAUUUAUCACCAUGGGAAGUCAACCUCAAAACGUCUAUUUAAAGAAACAGAAGAAAAGGAGGGAAUUUAAAUUGUAAUGGAGAAUACAAUAUGAAAAUUUUUGAAUGACCAAAAGACUAUCUUCAUCCACAACUAACUUUCUACUAGCGUUUACCUUUGGAAUUCCAACCAAAUGCACUCUCAAAUCCAAUCUCCCAACAUUGUAAUUCAUUAUUCCAAAGUUCUUCUACCCAUGCUUGCUUAACUUGAGUACGAUCUGUACCUUAUGCCCAAAAGACUAAAUUUUUUACAUUACAAUGGUUUCUAAUCAUACCCCAUUUUUUUCCCCAUUAUUAAUCCAUCCAGAGCUUGAAGUUAAGAGUAAGAUAUUUUGUCUUUAGUUGGCUUAAUCUUCUUGUGAAAUGCAUUUAUUUCAUUCUCCUACAAGGAUAAAAUCCAUAGCUUAACCAUCAAAGUUCAUUGUUAAAAUAUUCAUGGCCUUUGAUCCAGCAACUCCUGACAGCUUUCAAUAGAUUGAAUGAAAAUAAAAUAAUAAUAAUAAUAAAAAAAAAAACAUGAAACCCAAGGAUAACAUUCAAAUACCCCUUCCAACAUGUUACAGCAAAUCAUUCCAUAUAUUGUAAUGGAGGUUGAGAUCCUGCCCCCAUUUGAAUGAUAAAUCUCACUCAGUUUAUAUAUUGGCCAAUAAACAACCAUCUUCCCUUUAGUCAUCUCAAGCUCAUGGCACAAGGGAGCUAAUUCUGUUGGUUAAAAUGAUUAGUCAGAAAAACAAUGGACUUCUUUUUAACAUCUACUUCUCAUAAUCCCAUGAACCCUUGGAAGUUGUCAUCACCUGUCUCAGUAUGUCCUUCAAAAUGCCACACACCAGGCAAUUAGCCUACAGAGAUCCCUGUGGUGAUGUUUUACCUAUCAAGAAAUCCAUGGCCACCAUCCCAUGAAUCUAGAAACUCAAACUACAGUCUUUCAUGUUAAUCUGCUAGCAGGAAUGUUCACCAGACCUUGGAGAUGCCUCAACAUUAAAGGAAUUUCUCAUUUAAUUAUGGUAAGAGGCAAGUGGAGGAAAACAAUCUCGACAGAAGAUUCAGCCAUUUGUAAAUUGUGUAAGCACCGACAAUUUUAAGAAUCUAAGAGUAAUUUAAUCGAUAACGUAGGAGUAUUUUCAUGCAACUUCAUCCAUUUUCCUUCAUUUCAGUUCUCUGAUUAAAUCUCUUUUCAUAUGGCUUGGUGUUGAGAAAGAAAUGUUACAUUUUCAAUUUGGGAUCUUAAGAGGCAUGAAAAAUGGAAUCUUUCUUCAGAUUUCUUCUUAAGUUCCACAGAUUUGGGAGGUUAAUUCUCUUCCUUCUCCCCCUUCUCCCAACCAAGAUUAGAAUCUUUCCCAAAUUCUAAAACUCUAAUUUUAUCAACACUUCAAAGUUCUUAGUUGAAUUUCAAAUUAGGUUGAAAUCACGUUGCAAUUUUGAUCUUAUUCUGAGUGGCAUUAGUGAAAUUUUGGUAUUUUAUUGAUUGCUAUGGAGGAAAGUUCAAAUUUUGGUUGUAAUGUAGUUGUUUAUGUAUGAGAUAGGUGUGAAAGGUGUUUAUUUGCUUAACCUUUAUAUAUUUUGCAGACUCUGAGGCUGGAAAAUGGAGUUGGUUGGAAGUUGCAGCUUCAUAGGUCUACUAUGAUUUGGAAAUUUGGAAAUGUAGAAUCCAAUUUACAAACUUGAUCUAUAUUUGCUUGAUGUUUGGAUUUGCUGUUGGAAGCAGCUAUGGAAUGCUUCAGUUUUUACUAAUAAAAAAGGAGAUGGAUGUCUUGUUUCCAGGUUUACCUUUUUAUUUAUACUUUAUUUAAUAUUUUGCAAAUAUAUUAUUAAAAUUCAAACCCUCUACAAACUAUAUUAUGCAAUGAAUAUUGUAAGAUAUGAAGUGAUUGAUUUACAAUGAAUAGACAUUGCAAGAGCUUUUGUUGUGACAAAAAAAAAAAAAAAAAGUUUUGGUUUUUUUUUUAAAAGUGAAAUAAAGAAUAAUUUUUAAAACCAAAAUAAAAAUAUAAAGAAAUUAAAAAAAAAUCAUUAAGUACAAAUAAAAUUCAAUAUGAUAUUAUUAUUUUUCUUUUUUCAUAAUCCAAUAUAAAUUUCGAAGAAUUUUCAUUAAACAAAUAAAUUGUAAAUCAAAUUUAUUAAAUUUUAAAAAUAAUUUGAGGCCCAAAAAUCAAUUUAAUUAGUAUUAAAAAGUAUCAGUAAAAUUAGAAAAUCAUGGACUAAAAUUUAUUUUGAAUGACUUGCUAGUUUCGUUUUUACAUGUAUUAUUAUUAUUGUAAAUUUUUUCAGCAAAUAAGCUCUAAAUCAUGUGAGAUUUAAUGUAUUGGAUUCAUUAAAGAACCAAACAACUUUAUUAUUUAUCUUCUUUUUAGAGCCAUAUUAUUUUUAAAAAAAAUUAAAAAAUAAUUUUUAAAUUAUUUUUAAACCUUACUUUGAUGGUAAAAUUUAAAAAAAAAAAAAAAAAAAAAGGAUUGGUAUUUAAUCAUUUUCUUGUAGUGUUGGGCAAACAUUGCAAGGCUAGUGCAGACCCCAAUUUUGGGCCCUUAGGAGGCACUUUUCUCACCACCCUUAGAAGCUUCGAGACUUCCAUUUCUUGGCCACCUUUGGGGUAGAGAGAGCAGGUUUCUAGGUUUCUUUUGGCCCACCCGGGCUGAGACAAGUGGAGGAGGAAUAUUUUCUACCGUGGCGGGUUGUUUCUGCAGAUUGGUUGGGAAAGGUAGGCUGUCAGAGGAGGACACGUAGAGAGAGUGAGUUGGGUAGAGAUUUUGGAGGAGAAACCAUAGGGAAAAACCAGGGUGAAAUCUAGAGCAAGAAGAGGAGAGGAGCAUAAGAUGAUAGCCAAACAGAAUAUACUCAAGCUUCAGCUCUCCAAACAUUGAAUAUGGAAAGCAAAUUGAUUUUCAACCAUUUAUCACAAAAAGGUAAUUUGUGACUCUUUGCAAUUGGACAAGGAGAACAAGAAUCACGUUUAUUUCUUUGAUAAACAAUAUUACAAGAAUCAAGAGCUUUUGUUAGAAUAUCAUCAGUUGGAUGACCAAGCCUGGAAUGCCAGAGGCUAGAGGUGAUGUUUGAUGUUGUAGGAGUGUAGAAGACUGCAAGGGCAUCAUCAAUCAAAGGAGGAAAUUCAUAUAAGCCAUUCUUAAGUUGUCCUUAAAAAAGAACUUGUCUUGAGACCUGAUCUCUGACAAGAAAGAACUUUGGGUGAAACUAAAAAAAGACGUUAUUAUCGGUACAAAAUUUGGAAACACUAAUUAGAUUAGUAGUGAGGUGAGAAACAUGGUAGACUUUCUUUAAAUGAAAAUUUAUGAAGGUGGACGAAAAGAAUUUUGAACCAGUGUGGAGGAUUGGAAGUUUCUUACCAUUUCCAACAAUAACUUGCUCAUUUCCUUUGUAUGCUUGAACAUCAGAGAGACUCUUAAUAUCUCGAGCUAGAUGAUGAGUGGCCCCAGUGUCAAAGAACCAUGUCUCACUAUUUUUCGGAGCUGGAGAUGCAACCAUAACUUGCGUUUGGUUGUUGUCGUUGGAUGUAUUAUGUACAGAAGAACUAUAUGCAGAUGUAUAGCCUUGAAAAUUAAUAUCAAAUCUGUGAUAGCACUUGUGAACGAUGUGACCAUAUUUUCCACACAAUUGGCAUUAUGGACGAUCAGUAGAGAUAACAUGGUUUUCUUAUCCUCUACCACUAGAUGGAUAUCUUCCUGGUCGAGGGCCAUUUUUGUUUUGAGAGAAACUGAAUCUGUUGUUGUGCCUUUUGUUGCUGUUAUUUUUGUGUUGAGAUGUUGCAAUAUUUGCAAUGACAAGAUCACUUUCAGGUACUGUAUUUUGGAGACACAAUCAUUGCUCGUGAGUAAGAAGAAUACUACUAUGUAUUGAGUGAAGAGAUAGAUCAUUUUCUCGUGCUGUCAAAGAAGCUACUAUGGAGUUAUAAUUAGCUCCAAAACCCGUAAUAAGUUGAAGAAUUCGGUCCCUUUCAAACACUGAUUCUCCAAUUGUUGCUAGGUUAUCAAAAAUAUUCUUGAUCCUGAGGAUAUUCGACAUCCAAUGAUAUUACUAUCAGUAGGAGGAGGAACUAGCUGUCAGGUAUGGUUUUGUAUGAGAGCUUUGUAUUCCGUUUCCAUGGCUGAAACCCAAUUUGGAUCCUUGGAGGCUUGUUGGAAAGAAUAAGGUUCAGUAGGUUUAUGAGCCAAGAGAAGCUUCUUCUUAAAGAUUACAGUUUUUGCCCGGGUGAUCCUAGGAUAUGAGUUGUGUGGUGCUGAGGGAUUAGUAAGAGAAGAACUGGAAGAUGCACUGAAAGGAACUGAAAUAGGGUCGUGUACAAGAAGUAAGAAAGCUGAAUUAUGGGAAGAAUGACAUGAAUGGGCAGAAUUAGACAAGUGAGGAGACUAAGAUGUAGGAACUGAAGAGUGUGAAGUCUGAGUUGGUGGAAUAGACAAUGGUAUAGGUAAUAAGGUUGGAGUAGACGUGAACUGAGAAGAAGAAGAUGCAGAUGAGGUGUUAAUAGUCUGCUGGAAUGGAAAUUUUGUCUCAUGGAAUUUUACAUGUCGAGUGAUAUAUAUGCGGUUGGAGUUAAAGUCAAAGCACAUGUAACCUUUGUGAGUAGGACUAUAGCCUAGAAACACACAUGGAUUAGAGCGAUAACAAAGUUUAUGUUUAUUAUACGGGCGAAAGUAUGGAUAGCAUAGGCAGUCGAACACUUUGAGAUGGUAAUAGUUUGGAAUUUUAUUAAACAACACUUGAAAAGGAGAUUGAAAUUGAAGAACUUUAGUUGGUAACCGAUUAAUGGGGUGAGUAGUUGUAUGAAAGGCAUAAAUCCAGAAUUGUAAUGGUAAAGAAGCUGUGGUUAAUAAGGUAAGACCAGUCUCAACUAAAUGUCUCAUUUUUCGUUCAGCUCAACCAUUUUGUUUAGGAAUAUAGGGACAAGAACUUCUAUGUGUAAUCCCAUGAGUGGUAAGAUAAGAUGUGAAAGUUUUGAAUAAUCCACCAUUAUCAUAUUGCAAAGCUCGCUUAGUCAUUCAAGGUUUCACGCAAACUCCAUGUUUGGAUUACUUUGAAACUUUUAGUCAUGUGAUGAAAGCUUCAACAAUAAGAAUGUGCUUGCCAUUGCUGUUUCUUUCCAGUGGUCACUCAGACAACUAGACGUUCAAAAUGCGUCUCUGAACGGUGACCUUGAUGAACAAGUAUUCAUGGCUCAACCCCAUGGUUUUGUGGAUCCUCAGUUUCCUUUCUAUGUGUGUAAACUCAACAAAACACUAUAUGGACUUAAACAAGUCCCACGAGCUUGGUUUCAUAAGCUUAGUCAUGCUCUUCUUCAAUGGGGAUUCCAAGCCUCAAGAACUGAUAGUUCCAUGUUUUUUUGGUAUUCAGCAACUGAUGUUUUAAUCUUACUUGUUUAUGUUGAUGAUCUUCUGGUGACUAGAAGUAAUUCUUCUCAAGUUUCCUCUUUUAUUUCCUACCUCAACUCUACCUUUGCCAUCCGUGAUCUUGGACACCUGAAUUAUUUUCUUGGUAUUGAGGUAAUACACCAUGGAAGCAAGAUGCACCUCGGUUAGCACAAAUAUGUCCAAGAUCUUCUUGCACGUACAAAUAUGUUGGAUUCCAAACCAGCACACGCACCUGGAAUGCUGGGCAGAACACUUUCACAACAUGAUGGUCCUCCAUUUUUGGAUAUCAAGCUCUAUCGUAGCACCGUCAGCACCCUUCAGUAUGUCACUUUAACUCAGCCCAACAUUGCAUUUGUUGUUAACAAAGCUUGCCAAUUCAUGGCCAAUCCCACAGAAACUCACUGGCUUGUAGUUAAACGAAUCCUUCAUUACUUAAAAGACACCUCAAGUUAUGGUCUACAACUGCACCAAGCUAACUCCUUUGAUCUUCAAGGGUAUACAUAUGCAAAUUGGGCCUCUUGCCCAGAUGACCGUCGGAGUACCAACGGGUAUUGUCUCUUUCUUGGACCCAACCUAAUAUCUUGGUCAUUGCCUAAACAAAGGCAAGUAUCCCAUAGCAGUGCAGAAUCUGAAUAUCGCGGUCUAGCUUCUCUAACUUCAGAAAUCAUAUGGGUCCAGUCUAUGCUCCAAGAAUUAUGUCUCUCUCCCUCUGUUCCUCCUUUUGUUUGGUGUGAUAAUCAAAGCGUAGCUCAUCUGGCUGCUAACCUGGUUUUUAAUGCUCGAUCUAAGCACAUUUAACUAGAUCUUCACUUCAUCCGAGAUCAUGUCCUUCGCAAAAAUCUCAGCAUCCACUACAUUACAACCUGUGAUCAAAUUGCUGACAUUUUUACCAGGCACUUACCAAACUCUCAGUAUCUUGGAUUUAGAACAAAUCUUUCCAUUGUUCCUCGCCCUGUGAGCUUGAGGGGGGAUGAUAGCCAAACAUAAUACACUCAAGCUUCAGCUCUUCUAAACCAAACUGAUCAAGAAAAUUCAGUAGACAAAGACUAAUUUUCCAUGGUUGCGUUUAAACUCUAGAUUCAUGUUUUCAUUUUUUUAAUUCAACAUAUACCAAAAACCCUUAAAUCCAAACCAGUUGCGACUCUAAGCUAUUUCAUUAAAAUUUAAGAUUCAACUAAAAGAAACCAAUAAUGUCUCCAUGAAUAUCACUGUCACAUUAUGCUAUUUUCAUUGACUUAAAAAAAUUGAACUCUAAUAAGCCAUUAACACCAUUGAGAACCAAUAUGCAUUGCCAAGUAAAUGAUUAAACAACAAACAUGUGUGGCCUUUCUUACAUUCACAAGAAGUCACUAUUCCUAUAAUCUAAUAAAAUAAACAUGAGAAAGUGAUUUAAAAUUGAAUAAAAUUAUACUAACCUAUGUUUAGUGAUGCUCUGAAGUUGAUGGAAAGGGUGUAUUAUAGCCAAACCUCACACAGUGAUGAAGAUAACAAACAGUGGUGUGUUGAUUCUCUGAUAAUAGUGAUGAAUGACUUUAGCAGUAGUGAAUUCAACGAUGGAUCAAACUAUAAGUUUCGAUGGGUCUCUAGCAGUGGUGAAGAUGCAAACGAAAAUCUAAACCCUCUUUUCAGAUGAAGACAUUGGCAAUGGUGAAGAUGUGCUAGAAAUAGAGGAGCGGUAUAGAUGCUGUAAUACCUGAGUUUUUAAGUCCAUGUCAGAUUUUAGGAGUAUAAAGUCUUUUAUAAAAUUUUGGGUCAAAUGAUCAAAAAGAGUUGUGAAAAUCCACGUGUUAGUAUCUAAUUAGAAGAGAUUUUGGAAAAGUUAAUCAAAAGUCAAUAGUUUGAAAAUUUUGUCACGAUGUAAGGAGUUUGAAUUUUGGAAAUUAAAUUUUGAUUUGGUGAAAAAAAUACCAUCAAAUAAUUGAGAUUAGGUUUUGAAAAUUUGAAUAUUAAGUAUGUUAUAAGAAUUAAUUUAAUUAUUAUUGGAUAAUUAUCAGAAAAUUGUAGUAAGAAAAACUUGAUAAAAAUUUAUAUUAUAUCAAAUUGUUAUCAUGGAUAAUUAAAAAGAAAUUGAAUUUAAUUUUAUAACAAAUCAAUUUAAUUCUUAUAAUUGGAAUUAAACUUUAUAGAAUUACAAAACAUUAAACAACUUUGAAUUGAAAUUAAAUUAAGAUUAAAUUAUGAUAUGUGAAUUUAGAAAAGAUAUACAAAAUGGGUAAAUUAAUUAAAUGUGAAUUUUAUGAAUUUAACUUUUGAAAUUUUGAUGCGAUUUAAUAUUUUGACAAAUGAAGUAAAUUAAAUAAAAGUUCUACCAAAGGGUUGAGAAUUUGAUUUUUAUAAAUUGAAUUACUAAUUAAUUUAUGGAAUUAAGUUUUAGAAUAUUACUUAAAUUUUUGUUGGUAAAUAAAUAUUGAUAAAAUUAAUGGGUUAAGGGUUAUUACAAAUUUCAACUUCUUGGUUGCUGAAAAAAUUAUUUUAUGUUUUUAAUAUUUUUAUAGAAUUGAAUUUUGUUAAUAGUUAAUUAUAUCAUGUUUUAAGUUAAUUUCACAGUAAAAAAGAAAAGAAAAAAGUUUUAGGUAAUUAUAGUCAAAUUAUACUUUUUUAAGAGCAAACUUAUACUAAAUUAAAUUACGAAUAUGGUAGUAUUUUUCAUGUAAUGGAAAAUCAUAAGUUGGGUAUAAUUCAUAAUUACGAAAGGUGAAGUUAAGAAUAAUGAUUUUAAUUUAUUGAGAAAUGGACGUGCAUGGUAUUUUAAAAUUUGUUUUAAUAAUAAUAAUUAUUACAUAUAUACAUAUAUAAUAAGUGGCUUGCUGGGCAUGGGAGACAGAAGAAAAAAGAAAUGAAGGGAAAGUGAGGCGCAUGGGAAAUGCAGGGGAGGUUUUCCGUUGUGUGCCUCCAUCGAUCCGAUGGUGCAAAAACCUCCGAUCGUGACAAAAUUUCAAACGGUGAUAGUCUUCAAUGUGGUGAACACUUUUACAGAGUCGGAUUUUCGAUCCCACAAUUGGAUUUUACCGUACAAGUAGGAGUGUGUUUUUUCUAAAUUUAUCUCUCGACUUUUUUUGGGCUUUUCCUUUUGCUUUUAUUUACUUUAAAAAAACUCCAUGGAAAUGGGUGAGUUGUUGGGUUGUAGUAGAUCGUCAUAUAAUUUUUAUUUAAGUUGUUUUUGGAAACCCUAAACAUGUAAAAUGAUUUGGUUUUGCUUUGAAAAUGUUAAAUGGGAAGUAAAUGAAAGUUUAAUGCAAGAUAAAAAUAUUAGAAUUGUUGGUAUUUAAUUGUUGUUCAUGUGAUAGGAUUUACUGGAUUGUUGUAGUUAUGAAAAUUUUUUUUAUUGUAAUAUUGGUUAAUAUAUUUUUGUGAUUGUUGUUAUAUUAGAAAUUAUAUAAAUUAUUGGUGAUAAAUUAAUGUUGAAAAUAAUGGAAAAUAUUGGUUGAAAAUUUUGAGUAUUGAGAUAUGUUUAAAAUAAUUGUUUUAAAAUUAUUAAUAUUAUUAGAAAUAAAUAAAUUGCUAAUACAAAUUGGAGUUUUGUUGAUAAUUGAAUUAUUUGAAAAAUACUUUCCAAAUGUUGUGGUGGCAUAAUUGUAGAAAAUUGUUGUAUUGAGUGUUAAUAUUAUUGAGAUUAUUGGAAAUAAAUAAAUUAUGACAUAAAUUGUAUGUUGUUGAUAUUUGUAUUAGUGAGAAUUUUCUUAAAUAUGUGUGGUUAUUUAAUUGAAGAAAAAAAAAGGUUAUGUUGGUUGUUAGAAAUUAUUAAGCAUGUCGAGAAUAAAAAGAAUUUAUGUGGCUACAGUUUAAAACUAUGUUUUGAUGCUAUACAAUUAAUUGUGAAUUUCCUUUGAUAUUUGUGGUGAUUAAAGUGAAGAAAAAUCGUUGUGUGGAUUAUUGAAAAUUAUAAGACAUAAUGAGAGUAAAUAGAAUUAUGUCUUGAAAAAUUAUGGAUGUUGAAAUAUGAUUUGAUUGCACUUGAUAUGCAUCAUGAUUGUGUGAAGAAAAAGAAAAAUUAAACAAAUGGUUGUGUGAAAUGGAAAUGAAAAUGAAAAGACCUCGAAGAGGGAAAAAAGAAAAAAAAUGGAAUUACCCCAAAAGGGCGAAUUAAGAAAUAAGUGAGAUUCCUAAGGUGAAAGACCCAAAAGUUAACCCCGAGAAGACUUCGAAUGGGGAGUGUAUUUGGGUAUGGAAGCGUAUCUUUCGGUGAAAGCCCGAUAACAACAGUGCAUUGUGUGAUUGCGUGUAAGUAUUUACAUCAUGGUUGCAUUUGGAAGAAGGAUUUAUAUUAACUAUCAAGUGUAUGUUUGAAUAUAUUACUCAAGACUAAAAUGACUUGUUUAUUUUGUAAAUUUAGAAUUGUUGAUAUGCUAGACAUAUGAUUGAAUAAGGAAAAUGAUAAUUUUGAUUGGUUUAAAUUUCACUAGUAGAAAAAAUGCAAUUUAUGGCGCUUGAUUCCUUGGCGCCUCUAAAAAGUGUCAAGGAAUUGGGUCAACCUUGGCGCUUGUAGAAUAUUUAUAAACCUAGGCGCUUCUAAACCAUAUAUAUUUGAUUCAAUGACGCUUUUUAAGUUGAUGCUUUUGGAAGUGUCAUGGUUGGAAAUGGAAGGUAACCUUGGCACUUUUAUAAGUGUCAUUGAAAUGGAGUUCAGACAUUGGCACUUAUAUUAAGCGUCAUUGAAUUUACUAGUAUAUAUUUCUUUCUUUUUCCUCAUCCUAACACAUUACGCUCUCAUCCCAACCCUUGGAGCCCUAAGCCAGGACAAUCACCCACAUCUUCAACCACCACCAGCACUAAUCGAUGAGAAAAUGUUACGAACAUGUUGAAGGUACUCUCAUUUCAUUUCUUUUUGGUUUGUUUGCUUACCUAGAAAAUGAGAGAAAAAACCAUAAAUUAGGUUUAAAUUUUUUGAAUCUAAAAUCUUGAAAUUUUUUGGAUCCAAAAUCUUGAAUUGGUUGAUUAGAUUGUUUCAGUUAUAUAUAACCUUCUGAUUUUUAUGUUUGAUUGAGAAAAAUGUGAGAGGGAUUUGAAAAAUGCAGAUACCCUAUUUUCCUAAACCCUAACUCUUUAAACAAUCCAUUAUUGAGGCUUUCUCCAUUGUAAGGAACCUCGGGGUGCACUUGUUUUAUCCAUUAUCAGCUUCUAGAAUUGACUGCAUUUUUUCUUGGUUUCUCGAUCCACUUUACUUAACACCUCUGGUGCUGCUCCUAGAAGGGGCAAUCAGUGUAUAGAAUGAUGCCAGUUGUUUAAAUAUGUUUCACUUGUCCAAUAAAUGGUUGAAUUUUUGUUUAAGGUUUGGAGUAACACCAUUGAGUCCAUUAUGCAUACAAUUUUUAUUUCAGAAUUUCUUAAUUUUCUGAAAUGUUUUAUGUGCAGUGUUUGGGUUGCACGCAGACCACCAGGCUAUGCUUUUAUCGACUUUGAUGACCGUAUGUUUUAAAGAUUUUCUUAUAAUGGUGUUUAUUGUUCUUGAAUUUUCUCUAUGCUUGAACCCCAUGCCAACAACCAUUUCAUCUCCUUUCUCUAAUUUCUGGACAAGUUUGUCUUCCUCUUCACCUCAAUAAUUAUUAUUAAUUUUCAUUGCUAUUCAGGGUUGGAGACCUAAUAAUAAGAAAGAAUAUUCUGUUCUGUGUUGGGUUUUGGGGAUUUUUGGGUUUCAUGUUGUUGUGUUUCGAUCGUGUUGAUGUUUUUGUUUGUAUGAUGAGAGGGAUGCUAGAUAAUGACCAGGUGCACCAGGUCCAAAGUAAUGGGUUAUAUCCCAUUGGUCACUGCCCUGUGUGAAGAGAUAUCUGAGUAAAAGAAAUUUAUCUCUUAAUGACUUCAUCAACUGAGUUCAAACAUAAUUUAGUUUUUCUAUUGGCAUAAUUAUGUCGUUAAUUGAACUCACUUUAUGGGACAUCUCACCAUCUCACACAAAAGCCCCCCAAAAUACAGAAGAAAAGAGAUCAGUGCAAGGGGCACGUGAUUCCUUAAAACUACAAGAUGCAUAUCUAGAUUGGUAGUUAUUAUUAUUAUUAAUUUUUGAUAAGCAAAAGAGCAAUAGAAUGGGUAUGAAUUGGAAUUUGCGCUAGCUUUGAUUGCUUUUUUUUUUUUAUAGUGAAAAAGACUUGUAAUUUUUUUUCCCUUUAAGAUUAUUGGCUACCAAAUUAAAAAUUAUUGAAUUUGCAUUUACCAAACUUGGUAUUAGAUAAGAAUUGCAUAACAAAGUUUUCUCUUCUGUUAAAAUAAUUGUUUUCCAAACUAUGGAAUUGCAUAUAUAUGAGUAAACUGAUUGUACUCUUAGAGUGAUCAGUUGGAAAGAUGACGGUUAUAAGUUCCUCAUUACCUAUUUCUUCCAACUUAGCUUAAAUAUAUUAUUUACUCUUUCUAGUGUGAUUCUGUAUUCUGAUUGUCUUCUAAGCCUCUAUACAACAACUUAAUUAGAAUAUUUUCCAUAUUUUGAAGUAUCUUUUAUUUGAUAAUUCAGCUUAUGUUUAUCCUUUAAGUUUCUUUCCCUUUGUCAUCCUCUAAUUUUUCCUUAUUGUCUUCGGCCACUUGAAUUCUUGAUAUAAAUCUUUGGGAGUUUUUUUUUUUGCAUAAUGAUAGUUAAAAAAAUAUUAAUUGAAUUUAUUUUAUUUUAUUUUAAAGAACUAAAUGAUUUUAAUAUUUAAAAAAUCAAAUUUAAAAAAUAAUAAUUUUAUUGUUUAAAAAAAAUUAGUGAUUUUAAUAUUUAAAAGUUAUUUAUGAAUAUCUUAUCAACUUGAAAAGGUAAUUUGUAAACUGUUUGAAAAUUAAGACAAUAUUUUUCUAUUAUGGAGAUUAAUUUGAUUUAAUUAUAAAAUGAUCAAAUUUUAAAUUUAUAAUUUUAGCAAUUAUUGAUCUUAAUAUUUAAAGGUCAUUUAUGACUAUCUUAUCAAACUUGGAAAUGUAAUUGGGAGAGCGUUUGAAAACUAAGAUAAUAUUUUUCCAUUUAUGAAGAUUAAUUUGAUUUGAUAUUUAAAAUUUUAAAAUAAAAUUUUAAAAAUAUAAUUUUAUCGUUUAAUUAGUUUGUUUUUAUAUUUAAAAAUGUAAUUUUAGCUUUUAAAAAAAUUAGUGAUUUCAAUAUUUAAAAGUCAUUUACAAACUACCUUAUCAACUCGAAAAGGUAAUUUGAAGGUAAUUUGGAAAGUGUUUAAAAAGUAAGACAAUAUUUUUUUAUUUAUGGAGAUUUCUUUGAUUUUAUAUUAAAUAAAUCAAAAUUUUAAAUUUAAUUUUAUUGUUUGAAACUUCUAGUGAUUUAAUUUUAAAUUUAAAAGUCAUUCAUGACUACCUUAUCAACUUGAAAAGGUAAUUUGGAGAUUGGUUGGAAAGUUAGAUAAUAUUUUUCUAUUUAUGGAGAUUAAUUAAUUUGAUUUGACAUUAAUUUUAAACUUUCCUUUUAAUAUAAAAUUUUAAUAGCUUCUAAGUAAAAGGUCAUAUAAGUCUUUAUACUUUAUUUUUUAAAGAAGUUUCCCCUUUAGGAAUUAUAUUAACUACAAUAUAGUAAAUUAAAACUUGUCUAAUACACUAACAGGCAUAUGAAAAUCAAACCAAAUUUUGAUACUAAUCUUGACUUGGUUGUUUUCAUUUGUGCUCUUGUAGAUCUUAGAUUAGUUUAAUUUCUUAAAUUUGGCAUAUUGGAUUAAGAUAUAUACCAUAAGUUUGGCAUAUAUUUUUUUUACUCAUUUUAUAUCUUUUUUUUCAAUGAAAUAAUUUAGAUAAAAUAUGUAAUUCCACCUAUUUUCCUAAAAACUAGAUGUUGAUGCAUGUAUACACUAUCAUUUAUUUUUUAAUAAAUAUAAUUAACUUUAUUUAUUUUUCAUUGUCAGGAUUGCAAGGUUUUGUCAUAUGUUGACAAGGUUUGUGGGUUUGUAAAAUAUAGUCUAGAUUAUGUGUUAAGAACAAGAAACCAAUUAUACCAAUUUUAUUAUUUAUUUCUCAAGUUAGUCUACCAAUGUAGGUUUAGAGUACAUCACUUAACAAAAGCUAUCCAAACUCGUGAGCAUACCAUAUUUAUGUGGAGUUUGUUGUAGAUUUCCAAUAAGUUAAAAGAAACUUUAUUGUCUUUUCAAUGCCUUCUUCAACCUUGCGCACUCCACCUUAUACAAAGAAAAGAAAGAGGAUAGGUCAUUUCUAAUUUUUGUUUUUUAAGUGGACCUUCAUUUAAAGUAUUUGAGGCCUCUUUCAAUAUUAAAUGUAUAUAUUAUUUUAUUACCAAAAGUUACUCUAGAUGGUUGAGUGACUACACAACUAAUCCUAAUUUAAAAAUAUAAAAGUUUUGAGUAUUCUUUAUGUGGGUUCAUAAAUGUGUUCUCCUUCCCUCCUUAUUACGUUUCUAUUUUUUUUCUUUUUUCUUUUAUAAAAAAACAAGAGAUCCAACUUUCAAUGUUUUUUAAUAAUAUAUCUUCAUUAUUAUUGAAUGGAAUGAGAUGUAGUAGACAAAGUGGUCUUCUAUUGUUGAUACAGGAAAACAAGUUAUCAUUUUAUAUGACAAUUAGGAGUAGAAGGUAAUGACUGUGACAACUAGGAGCAGAGGGCAAGAUGCACAUAAGACAUUGUUUUUAAAGGCAAGUAUCUCCUCUAUUUAUAAAGGUAAUCCACCACUACACUAGAAACUUCUCUCUUAAAGAUAGAAUAGCUUGAAAGGAUGACUAAAUAGAAGAUAAAAUUUUAUUUCUAUUACUUUACAAAUUAAUUAUUUACUUUUAUAAUUGCAUAGGAGUUAUAUGUUAUCCUAAACAAGACAAUGAUACAUUUCAUGGUUUUAUUGAAAUAAAAUAUAAAAAGAAGUUUAUUUUCCUAUCCUUGGAUUCUUAUCAUACACUUACCUAAUGAUUUAUAUUUUCAAAAACUUUGAACAAGCACCUCUUAUCAACUCAAUAAAAUUAAAAGUCAAAGGAACUAAAAUAAAAGUAAAAACUAAUCAAGUAAAUAAAAAAUAAAAAUAUAAGAAAUUAAAAAAGAAAUUAAUAUUAACAUGGUGAUAGUAAGAUGGUUUUCAUCUUAUUUGGACCUUGGUAUUAUUUUUAACUGUGCAUAGUAGGUCUUAUGUUAUUCUUUUAUUUGAUAAUGUUUUAAGAGUUCUUUAUUAAAAGUCCAUAAGGAGCUGCCCCAACUCCUAUGCUUCAUUAAUUAGCUUUGAGGUUUGCAUUUGUUAAUAUUGAAAGAAACUAUGUGUUUCUUUCUUAUGAAGUAGGCAACCAUUAUCAUUGUAAUUCUUAAAAUUGAUGCUUUUGACGUUACUUGUUGGGAACAUGCAAGUAAGUCUGCUAGUUGAAUAUUCAUGUUGAUCCACUAAGGGCAUAUUUGAGUGCAUUUUUUUCUUCUAUUAUUUUUCUUUCAUGAACUUUAUAUCAAUAAAUCAACAUCGGAAUAAACAAGAGUUCAAGUUCAUUGCAUUGCUUUUCAAAUAUAUAACUUAAUUCAUUCAUCUUUCAUUUGCUUCAAUUUUUGAUUGACUGCUAUUUUUAUUUUUAUUAAUAAGUUUGAACUCGAUAAUGAAUCAAUUUUCAAAUCUCAUGUAUGAUUGUUUGAACAUUCAUCAGCCAGUAUAUGAUUAUGUAAAUUUUGUUGAAUUUUAAAUUUCAUCAUCAGGUUAGAUUUGGUUAAAACUCUUCAUAAUAUACAUUAGUUUUUCUUGUAAAUUAUUUUGAAUUCCUUUUCUUAUAAUUUUCUCAUUUUCUUGUAGUGGCUAUUUUGUGAAAAAUUAAAUCUGUCAAUGUUUAUUUUUAUUUUUUUUAAUUAACCUCUUUUGAUUUAUGUUACUCUAAUGUUAUUGAUAACCUCUCUGAAGCAAAAGCCUAAUGAAGAAGACUUUGACAGGGAUGAUGCCAAUGACAAGGUAAAUGAAGAUUUUUUUUUUGCACUAUCAACAUAGUAUAAAUCAUUUUAAAAUGGAUCUUUUCAAUAAUUAAGGAAACUAAGACAUAUUCAUGUGGUUGUAUACUUAAUGAUUGAGAUAAUUAUCUUACUUAGUAGCAGUAUUUUUUAACACUAAUAAUUUAUUUACUCUAGUAAAACUUUUUACCUUUGACCCAAUAAGAAGAAUAUUAGCAUGUUUGUUUUAUUGCUUUACUUGAACAAAAGCUAAUUAACAUGUUGGAUUAUUUUCUAUUCUCAUAUCCUCUUUGUUUCAAUUAUAUUGGUUGUUAUAUGUAUAAAUUUAAAGUUUUAUAUUUUUUUUUUAUUUACAGCUUGCAAAGGAAAUUGGCUUACAAGAAGAAGAGAAAUCAUUACAAUAAAGCGAUGUUGGAAAUCAUGAAGAUGAUAUCAUUUAAAUCUUUAAAAGGUUGAACUAGACUUUUGUUGAUGGUGGUUUCUUUUUGUAGUUAUUGCACCAGUAUUUGUUCUUAUAUUGGAUUUAAAAAUUCUCAUUGAAAUAUUUUGAUCUAAUGAACAAAUUUAUAAUUUGUAUACAAGUAAUUAUACUAAUUAUUGAAACUAAGCCAUUAUAUAUUAAUAUUUGGAGAUAUUUUAAUUUGUACAAUUCAAUUUAAUUUUAUGAUUUUGCUUUUAUUUAAUUAUAUAGGAAAUUCAUUAUUUUAAAAACAUAAUACCAAUAUUAUUAUUAAAAUAAAAUGCUUAAAGAUGACGCUUCUAUUAAAUGUCAUUAUUAACAUAAACCAAAGAUGACGCUUUUAAAAUUGUCAUUGAAAAAUAAUCCAAAGAUGACGCCUUGUAUAAGCGUCAUUAUUGACUAAAACAUAUAAUGACGGGGGAGAAAAGGACGCUUUAGAGAAGUGUCAUCUUAUGUUUUUCUUGACGCUUAAAAAACGUCAUUAAUUCCCUUUUUUCUUGUAGUGUUUGUAUGGUUGGGGUUUCUUUUAGUAUGUAUAUUGUAAAUGUAAUAUUAUAUUUUGGCAUAUGGUUGUAUUAUUGACUUAGAAUUUCUAACUUAUUUGGGUGUAAAACACCCUACUGAGCAACGUGGAAAUGCCCACCCCUUUAUUUUCUAAAAUUUUUAGAUGCAGAUAUAGUUUUUGAAGGACCACAGAAAGACCAAGAAGUGUUCCAGACAACAAAAGAACCAUAAUAAUGAUUGUUUUUAAAUUUAUAUUACCGUUUUGACAUGUACUAAUUUGAGUUAUAUGACAUUUUGCAAGUUAAAUUAUAUUUUGUUAGUUUGUAAAACAUUUUUGGAAAUAUUCUUUUUGGACUUAGAGAUUAUUGUAAAUAUUUGAGCUUUUGGGUAGGAAGAUGACUAGUGGUUUUAUUAUAAAUGUGAUUAGGAGAUAGUGUGAUGGUUGGUUUUGAAAGAAAAAAUAAUAAUAAUAUGUUACAGUAAAUCUUAACUUAAUAAAUUUAUUUAUAAUUAUACGCUUUAUUGAAAAAGAAAAAAAAAAUUCAAGGUGUUUUAAUUGAUUGCUAGUGUGGAUAGAAGUAACCCUUAGGAUCAAACCUUUUACCUAGGGUCACGAGUCAAGUUCUGGGUUGCCCAGAAUUUGGGGCAUGACAGAUGCAGUACUCCGAAAUCAUGAACGAAGAAGUAGUGAUGGAGACUUAUGUAGAGUGAGGUGAUGAUUAGUAUGGUGUUGCAAGUACUUCUUGGAGAUCUCUAUUUCAAAAUUGCAAAUGCAUUGGUAUGCUGUAGGUGCAAUGCCGAUGGAGACGAGCUAUAAAGAUGAACUAUUGUUCACACAAAAAUGGUGAUUUGUAGGUUUGAUGAUGAUGAUUGUAGCUCAUUUGCAAACAAUCACCCUCUAAUGGCUAUGAUGAUGACAAAUGUCGAUUUUCAGCAUGGUGGAAAUGGCGAGUGCCAAAGGUGGUGGUAACUUGUAGCAGCAUCGAUCUCUAGUGGUGAAAAUGGCAAGCUCUAAUGGUGGUGGUGACCUAUAGCAGUGUCGAUCUCUAGUGACUGUGACGACAAGCUCUAAUGGCAGUAAACUACGCCGGCAGCAACGAUCUCCAUGAAUAGAACAACAAGCUUCCACUAUGGUGAACUACUCCGGCAACGAUGAACCUACCUUUUUCAAUGUAGAAUUUGCACUCCUCCAGAAAAUGCCCAAAAACUGACUCCCUAUGUCAGUGAUGAACUCUCCUCCUCCAAAAAAUGCCCAAAAAAAAAAUGUCAGUGAUGAACUCUCAUUUCUCAACCUCAAAAGUCUCUAGAACUACAACUGUUACUCCUACCCGGUGUGGUGUGCAUGCUCCCUCAACAUAAAGAUUCCUCUUCUAGAGACUUCCCCCAUAAACCUCCUCAUUGAAUGCAUGGCAGUUCAAAAACGUGACUGGUAUUAGCUUUCUUGCAUGGCCUGUGGUGAUGCUCCCUCACCUGAGACUCCUCCUAAAACCAUCAUGAUGUCAUGUCUUGGAAAAAAAAUGGUGAUCCUUUUCAAAUGUCUCAUCGUGAUGCCGAAUGCAUGUCUCCAUCUCACCCAGAGCGCAUGUGUGAUAGCCAUCCAAGAUGUACGUGCCUCUAAUCUUCUGGAGUCUUCUAGAUCCCAUGCAUGGAGGUUAUCCUUUGCUGUGGUGCAAACCCGAGAAUCUAUGUGAGCAAUCUCAAAUAACAAUAACACUAUCAUUCUAUGAAAAAUUGUAGUAGAUUUUCCAUCUUGAGUGAAAGAAAUGCCUUUCGACGCAUGCCUUGGCCAUUACAGACGUGUUCAUCCUUAUCUCAUCCAAGCACCAGAAUAAUUACACAAAGAUAUUUUCUCCAAAUUCACGUGUCCCUAUCUCAUGACCUUAAAAAAUAAACAUGUAGCAAUGAUCAAAUCCCAAAAAAAAAAUUUAUGUAAAUCCACAUGCAAAAAUGUAGAAUCCAAAUUAUCACACAUGUCAUACAAUAUUAAAAAAAUUGUGUCAUGCAUCUUAAAAGAAAAACUAUAAUAAUAAAAAAAAAUCAUAUAAUAAGGAAAAAAACACAUUGAAAUACAUCUAACAAAAAAAUUAAAAUUAAAAUUUAUGAAAUUAGAAAAUCAAAAUGUCAAUCAUAUGCAAUCAAAUAUUGAAAACAACCAAUACAAUAAAUAAUAAUAAUAAUAAUUGAUAAAUUGAUCCAAAAUUUCCUUGAUCCUAGAAUCAAACAAAGGAAAAUAAGAAACACCUAAAUGCACUAAAAAAAACAAUCAAACAAAAUCCUAAACUAAGAAUCAAGAGUCAUUGCAAUCAAAGUUGGGAUCCACUUAAUCUCUCCAAAAUAUCUUUCACAUAAAAUCCAAAAACUAGUGGUUUGAAACAGUCACAAUUGACCACCAAUGAGAGCUCAAAGAUAGCUAAGAAAAUGAUCACAAGUGUACAAUAAUGUAAUAGAGAAUAAAUGAGGGCAGACUUGGGCAUCAUGUGCCAAGAGGAUAAAAUGGAGGGUCUACACUUGUCUGAGUGUUAGAAGUGAAAAGAACAUAAAAAAAUAAGUUUUCAGGCCAAAAAUGGUGAACCGAUCGAGGUACUAACCAACCUUCUUAACCGACUAGGGUAAUAGUCAACUGGUUAUACCUUUCCAAUUGAGGUACGAUCGAGAGAUGCAAAAAAUCUUCUUUCUCUUCCAAUAGUCUUGCAUUCUUUGUUGAGGGAUAUGCAUUCCCAGUCGAAAUCCGAUCAAAGUCUGGUCAAGGACCAAUCAAGGUCUAACGAUUACCUGCCACGCAUUUAUUGCCCAACGGCUAGUCAACUGGUCGACUACCAGCUUGAUCGAUCGAGAUUGUUUUUUGGCAUUUUAGCUUCCGAGUCUAGAAACCUAUAAAUUGAGAGCUCCACUUCAUUUAUGAAAAAGAGAACAUCUGUAUUUAUUUGUCUACCUACUUGUUCUUACCUCAAAAGCUCUCAUUCUUUUCUUGGUACAUUAAAUCUCCAUUUGCAUAUUUUUUUAGUGCACCUUUGUGAUUCAUCCUAGCAUUUGAGUCAUUGUUGAGCUAGGUUGAGAGAUUUGAAUUUGUUAUUUGAGUGUUAGAAUAUUCAAGUGAGUAGAGACUUGAAGGGAUUGUAUAAGAGCGCAUUGAAGUCGGAAUCCAAGUCUAAAGGUGUUGAAAGCUUGGUUGAAGCUUCAACUAUAGUGGAACCUUCACUCAGUUAGGAGCUUGAGGAGAGUGGAUGUAAGUAAAGGGUAUCAAACCACUAUAAAAUCUGAGUUUGCUUCCUCUAUCUUAUCUCUUUAUAUUUGUGCUUCAUUUGCUUGAAUUUGUUGUUUUUGAAAAAGAUUUUUUUAAAGCCCAAUUCACCCUCUUCCUUCCCCACCUUAGUGUUUUCUCUAUUAAGAUUAGUCUUUAUUUUCUUAGGGAGGUAAUACAAUUGACAAAGAAAUUGAUUUGUGCUUCAUGUCAUAGAAAAUGAUUAGAUGUUGUUGUUUAUAUUCUUAACUAUAAUCAUGCAAAAUUUAGGGUAUGUUUGAUUGUUGGAAAUUUAAGGGAAAAUGUUAGGUAAAGAAAAUAAAGAGGAAAAGUAAACGAAAAAAAAAAUGGGUUUAAAGUCAAUAAAUUAUUUUUAUUUGCUACUUCAAACUCAUUUACUUAUUUUAACUCAUCAAUAUAAAUAUUAAAUAAUUUGAAAAUGUAUAAGGUUUUUACUGGUUUUAAUUAUAUUUAAUUUUUUUUAAUAUUUUCCUUAUGACAACCAAAUAUAUUAUUUUCCUUGGUAUUUUAUUUAUUUCUUUAUCACUUUUCGAGAAUCCAACAUAACCUUACGACUUACUGCAACUCCAAGACAAGAACUCCAUUUAUUUUAGUGCAGCUAUAGGAUGACACUCAAGUCCUAAUGCAAGUGUUAGUUGGUCCCGAUGGAAGAGGACCGGUAUCUAAGCUUUGCUUGUAACAUCUUAAAGUUUUGUAUGUGUUCAAAGAUGGUGAUUUAAAUUAAGUUCUUCUAUUUUGGUAUUUGUCUCCAUAUUGAAAUCAUAUAUUUUUUCAAUUAUUUUUUUUUGCACAUCAAAAUUUCUAAAUAUAACUCCACUGUAAUACUUUUUCAUAGUUUAAACCAUAAAUCCUUACCUCAUGGCAUUAUCCAUCAAAAUUACUCUAAAAAUAUUUGGAUCUGUUUGACCAUAUUUUCUUAGAGUUGUUUUUUAAAAUUGUUUGUAAGUUAAAGAAUAAAAUACAAUUUUUAAAAACAAAUUUUAGAAAACAUGGUCAAAUUGGUCCAUAUUUUCCUUUUAUUUUUAAAAACGAAUGAAAAACAACUUUUACUUGUUCUCUAAAAAUUAUUCUUUAUUUCACAUUGUUUUUAAAAAUUGUUUCUAAAAAACAACGGUCAAACAAUAUUAGAAAAUUUUAAAAAAGGUUUUAUGUUUUUAAAAAUAAAAAAUUAUUUUUAAAUCAUACAACCAAACAAACUCUUUGAUUUUGAUUUUGUUUGAAAUACAACAAAUUCUUUUAUAUUUUGAGUGUUAGUGAGUAUUAUUAUUGUUAGACGAAUUCAAAGAAUUUUAUUUUUUAAAAAUAAAAUUCAGUUUUGCAUUUGAUAAUCCCCACCCCACCCACAAAAAAAAGGGAAAAAAAAAGAACAAACAAACAAAAAACAAAAAAUCAAAUGACAACCUAUGGUUGCCAACUCUUGACUAAAAAAUUAAAUUUUUUUAGUGGGUCAUAAGUCUAAGAACACGUUUGCUGCAAUUUACUUGUGCAUGCUUUCUAUUGCACUAUAAGAUAUACUUGCACUGCUCCACUUGGUCAAUUUUGCAUGUAACCAGUUUAAAAUGUUAGUAAACAUAAAUAUAUAUAGUUGAAUUUUACGGAUAUAUUAAAAAUAUAAAAAUGUAUCAAAUUUUUUAUAAAAAGUUUAACUUAAAUUUUUUUAAUAUAUUUAUAUUUAUUUAUUUUAAAAAUUAAAAACUAUUUUUAUUAAAACAUAUUUUAUUACAUUUUAAAUAAAAAAAUUGAAUCGAUUUACAUAAAAUAUUUUAUUUCAAAUAUAAUUUUUAAAAUUUUGUUAUACAUUUGUGGUGACAAUUUUUUGUUAUUAACAUUAAUUUAUUUAAAUAAUUAAAAUUAUUAAAAUAUAUAUUAAUAAUUUAUUUUAUCAAAUUAAUUUUAAUUUAUAAAAUAUUAAAAGAACUUCAUUAAUUUUUUUUAUAUUUUAGUAAUUUUUGAAUAAAUUUAUAUUUUAAAAUAAAAACAUUUAAAAUAAACUAAAAUUAGAAGGAAAAAUAUAAGAAAAAUAAAGUGAAGUGAUAGUAAUUUUUAAAAAUAAGAUUAAUAAGAUAAAUAUAAAAAACAAUUAAAAAUAAAAGGGCAAUAUAAAAUAAAAGGAUGAUAUAAAUUUAAAAUAAAAGAUAAAUUAGAAAAAAAAAAACAUAGGUAAUUUUCUUUUUUAAAAGGUUGUUUGAAAAAAAAAUGGUAAAAAAAAAAUUGUUAAUUUUUUGGAAAACCGCCAUCCCCAUGCAGGCGUCUGCUGAUUUUUCAGCAAAAUUUUGGGAUUUUUCUAGCGAUAUUUCAUCCAUAUUACUGAUUUUUUUAUUUUUUAUUUUUGGUGAUUUUUCACCCAAUAAUCGAUAACUGAUUUCGUUUUGACCACCUUCGAUAUCUGAUAUUUAUCAACAAAAUUUUUAAAAUUUUUUGAUUUUUCAAACCUUGCAUGCAACCAUAUGUCAUAGGAAGAAUGAUCAAAAUAUUAUAUUCUAUUGUAUACAUUACAAUACUUUCCAAAAUGCAUAUGAGCUAUGCAAGGUAAACAUAACAUUAUUCCAAAGAUAAAGGUUGACUGUUCACUAUGAUCCUUGAAUUGUGGGAUCAGAUUGACUCUCUCAAUAGUAAUCUUUAUACUCACCUGAGGUGGACGUGGUGCUAUUCGCCUUCUCUGCCAAGCAAAAAAACUUUAUAUAAGAGGUUAGAGCAUCAAGCCCAUGGCAUUCCCAAUCGGAAGAGCUGGGGUUUCACUGCGACUAUCCUCUCAUUCCACUUGCUCCCAGUUCCAGGUUCGUUUUCUCCUUUCUUUCAUUCCACUUCAUUCAACACCAUCAUGGCAUGAUUUCCUUCUUGGGGGUUUAUCCUCAGUUUUUUUAGUCAUCAGAGAAAACUAAUGAUUCAAUUCAUUGAAGGGUCGUGGCACCGCUUCGUUCUUUGGUUUCCUUUUGGGUUUCUGUUCAUUUUGACUAUUUCCAAUGUUUGAUUCAGCAGAGAAUAUGAAAACUGAUUAUUGCUUUCAUUUUACUCUCAUGGCGUGAUUUCUUUAUUGGGUUUCAUUCUGAAGUUUCUGAUUCAGUAGAUGAUGCUAAUAAUUUAAUUCCUUUCAAUAUCAGAGACCUGCUCAGGCUGAACUUGUCAUGGAUGGACGUGAUUGGGAGACUCAUCUUUCUCGUGAAUCUCGCCUCAGGAUUGUCAACAGUAUGUGAGUGUUUUAUUUCAAUUACCAAAUGUAAAUGUUUUGGGGAUCUUGGGAAAUUUCUACUGUUGGAAUUUAACAGUGUAAUUGUUGAUGGAAACUUCGAUUCAUAGGAGUUGAUGAUGCCACCGUAUCUGUAUGUAUGCAUUCGAUUCAUAUGAUAGGGCAAUUUAUAUGACAAUGCUAGCAUGAUGAUUUGGUAUUCCACAAGGUUCUCAAGUUGUUAAGUUUUUAAGCUGUUAGGAUUUGGAUCCAUAAUGUAUAUUAUGUGUGUCCCCAUACUAUGAUCACACACAUAUGGACCAUACCCGUUGCUAUGAUCACACACAUAUGGACCAUACCCGUUGCGAGACUCACAAACCACAAUAGUGACAAAGAAAUCACGCAUUUGUAAUCAUGUAUGAUCACACACCUUUCAAAUUGCAAUAGUGAUAGACAAAUGUAUAUCAUGAUUGAAAACCCCCCAAAAACAUGUUCUCGUACCCACCUUGGGAGUGAUAGACAAACAAUAGUAGUGACAAACAAAUCACACAUUUUUAUCACGCAUGUGUGACCCUAUACCUAGGAUCGACAAAUCACACAUGUGCUAUUGCAUGGCCCUAUACUUGCCAUGAAAGCCAUAAACCAUAGUAGUAGCAAACAAAUUACACAUUUGUGAUCAUGUAUGAUCACACUCCUCCCAAAUCAUAGUAGUGGUAGAUAAAUCAUACAUAUGUGAUCACAUGUAAUUAGACAAAUAAAUAAAUGGGGAGUGACCUAAACUUGAGACCUCUUAUUAACCUAAAAUUGGAUAAUGUGUUAAGUUACCAAUUUUUCUAAAAGUUUAAGGUAUUAGGAAUUGGACCUUAUAUCAUAUUCUAACAAAGACAAUAUUAGUCUAGGUUAGGCUAUUCCUUGGUGGUCUAAGAAUAUUCUAAGCCUUUGGCUGCCUUACUAGUUUCUCCCCUUGGUAAGGAAUAAGUAUAGAGACCAAAGAACUUGCUUUAAUCCUAGAUCUAAUUGGAAUCUAAGCUGGAACUCCAUGAGUUGGUGGGGGGAAUACAAUUGAAGUUCAUUGAUUCUUGUAUUUGGGAGUUCAUCCCAAGCAACAGUAAGUUCUUAUGAGCAUGUUAAGUACAUUAAAAAUCAAUACAUGAGGGAGUUCAAAUAGGAUCAUUGAAAAAUAGGAAGGAGAAAAAGGGUAUUAGAACGUGCAGGAAAUUUCAAGAAGCAACCUUUUGCCUUUGACUUGUUUAAAGGGAGGGGUGCAAGCAUGGAGCCCUAUGAAUUAACCAGCUUUCUGAUUGUCUUACUCUCAAACCCCCUCUUUUUAUGGGAUCAUAGUUCUGUUCCUUUCCUUAAUAAUAAUAUUCUGUUUACUCUAAAUUCCUGUUUCAUGCAAUAUUGUUUUCUGGUUGGAAAUUUAUGUGACAUGCAAUAUUGGUUUCCUAUUUAAGAGUUUCAGUGUUCAAAAGUUUUCAAUGAUUUCAUGACAAUAACCCAUUACAAUUUAACAUUUUUUAUGUCUAGAUCGGAUACGUUGAGGAGACAUCUUCCUGUUUCUGGACCAGAGGUACUACGUCAGCUAUGGAAAAUUGCUGAAAGGUUUGAGGAAAAGAUUUAUUCUGCUGCCACAAGUGAGGUAUAUCCAUCAUGCUAGUAUUUACUCACAUUCCUCAUGAUCUAUGAGCAUUUUUUGUAUCUAUCAUUUUUUAUUUUUAAAUUCUUAGUAUAAAAGAGCAAAGUGCAAAACUCAAUUAUCUUAUCUUAGUUUGUCAUUAAUUAUUUGAUGAAAUGAUAUAUUUUUCAUCUUUAUUUCUAAUUCAGUCUGAUUACCUCCGGAAAAUAUCUUUGAAAAUGCUGGCAAUAGAGGCUGCUAUGAAAGAAUCCCAUAGAUUCAGGUAACGACAUGAAGGAGCAAUGUGUUUUUAUGAAAUGCAACAAUCGAAAUUUUGCUUCUAUGAAAUGCAACAACGGAAAAUUUUCUUUUACGGAUAGAAAUUUUGCUUUUAUGAAAUGCCAUAAUAGAAAUUUUGCUAACAUAUCAAUAUAUCAUGUUGCAAAACUCCCCCUAAACAUGUUCCCGUAGCCACCUUGGGAGUGAUAGACAAACAAUAGUAGUGACAAACAAAUCACACAUUUUUAUCACGUAUGUGUAGCCCUAUACCCAUGAUCGACAAAUCACACAUUUGCUAUUGCACACAUGUGGCCCUAUACUUGCCAUCAGAGACAUAAACCAUAGUAGUAGCAAACACAAUACACAUUUGUGAUCGUGUAUGAUCACACUCCUCCCAAAUCAUAGUAGUGGUAGAUAAAUCAUACAUUUGCGAUCACAUGUAAUUAGACAAAUAAAUAAAUGGGGGAGUGACCUAAACUCAAGACCUCUAAUUAACCUAAAUCUGAUAAUGUGUUAAGUUACCAUUUUUUCUGAAAGUUUAAGCUAUUAGGAAUUGGACCCUAUAUCAUAUUCUAACAAAAACAAUAUUAGUCUAGGUUAGGCUAGUCUAGUUAGGUGGUCUAAAAAUAUUCUAGGUCUUUGGCCUCCUUACCAGUUUCUCUUUUUGGUAAGGAAUAAGUAUAGUGACCAAAGAACUUGCUUUAAUCCAAGAUCUAAUGGGAAUGUAAGUUGGAAGUCCAUGAGUUGGUUGGGGGAAUACAAUUGAAUUUCAUUGAUUCAACAUUGAUUCUUGUAUUUGGGAGUUCAUCCCAGGCAAGAGUAAGUUCUUGUGAGUAUGUUAGGUGCAUUAAAAAUCAAUACAUGUGGGAGUUCAAAUAGGAUCAUUAAAAAACAGGAAGGGGAAAAAGGCUAUUAGAAUGUGCAGUAAAUUUCAAGAGGCAACCAUUUGUGUUUGACUUGUUUCAAGGGGGGGGUUCAAGCAUGGAACCCUAUAAUUUAAUCAGCUUUCUGAUUGCCUUACUCUAUUAUGGGAUCAUAGUCCCCUUCCUUAAUAAUAAUAUUCUGUUUACUCUAAAUUCUUGUUUCAUGCAAUAUUGAUUUCCUAUUUUAGAGUUUUUUGGUGUUUUAAACUUUCCAAUGAUUGCAUGACAAUAACCCAUUACAAUUUAACGUUUUUUAUGUCUAGCAUGGACAUGUUGAAGAGACAUCUUCCUGUUUCUGGACCAGAGGAAUUGUGUGAGAUAAGGAAAAUUACUGAAAAGUUUGAGGAAAAGAUUUAUUCUGCUGCCACAAGCGAGGUAUAUUCAUCAUACUAGUAUUUACUCAACCAUUCCUCAUGACCUAUGAACAUUUUUUGUACCCAUUGUUUUUUCUUUUUUAUUUUUUAAUUCUUAGUGUAAAAGAUUAAAGUGCAAAACUUGAUAUUAUCUUACCUUAGUUUGUCAUUAACUAUCUGAUGAAAUGAUAUAUUUUUAUAUCUUUAUUUCUAAUUCAGUCUGAUUACCUCCGGAAAAUACCUCUGAAAGCGCUAGCAAUGGAGACAAAAUGUUUUAAUCCUGCAACCAAUUCUCUACCAUUCAACUAUUUUGCUCACAGAUCCAGGUAACAACAAUGAAGGAGGAAUGUGUUUGUAUGAAAUGCCACAAUCGAAAUUUUGCUAACACAUCAAUAUAUUCUUCUUCUAUUUUGUUGUUACACUUGACACACAUUACAUUUAUUAUGUGCACACAUGUCUUGUAUGUGUACACACAUGCAUAUAAUUCUUUUUUCUGUUACCAUGAUUACACUUUCCUCUUGAUAGGCAAUAAAACGUUCAUAGUUGAGCUUAAUUUAUGCAGGACAAUUUCUAUUGGAUUGGGUAUGGAAGCAGCUUGCUGCUUCUUCUUUUUCCCUUUUCCUUUGGAUUGGGUUAGGGGGUAGGGAUAGGGUUGUGUGUCAGCAUAUUGACUUGUAUCAUGCAGCACCAAGGCCACAUUGAAUACACUUUGCACCUAUGAGUGACUAUUCAACAAGGCAAGUUGAUGGACCAAGGUUUGAUGAGAGAUCAUGUCAAGGCUUGGUGGCAGCUCAAGUGGGCGAUAGACAACAUGUGGGCUAGCAUGUGGGACAGCUCGACUUAGCCAAAAUUCAAGUGUAAGAUUUUAGGUGGCAGGUAUUUCCCUUCAAAGAGGAGGUCUUGAGACUGGUUUCCAUGUGGAAUUAUAAUUUUUUUUACAUUUUUUGUUUUUUUAUAGAAAAUUCAUUAUUCCUACCCAAGCAUAGUAUUUUGGAAAUGGUUUAGAAUGUUCUUUAUGGAGAGGCUAGCUAACUCAAAGGUGGUGAAUAUGGCAUGAGCUACGCCACAUCAAGAGCAUGAUGUAGUGGCUUUAGACAUGAGCAAGGGGUGAUGGUAACCCUUGCUAAGCAUGUACACAUUGACAUGAUACCAUGGGGUGUGGUGCAACCCAUGGGCACAAUGAAAUGGGCGUGGUUGUGACACACAAAUGAGCUUGGUUCCCUCGAGUUGGAUUAAUCAACAUGAUUGGCAGACACAUGGGCCAAUAUACAAACACAAGCCAUGUGCUAAGAGAAGUCUUAGUGUCGAGGCAACGUACCAUGCAUGUGGGGCAAGAGGGGGCUUGGCACACAUGAGCUGACUAGAGAAGCAACGAGCUUGAUGAUGCAUAGGGCUACUUAGACACAUGAGUGGGCUUGACUACACAUGAGCUGCCUAGACACAUGGGUGGGUUCAACAAUAAGCAUGAGUUGACACUAAGCAUGGCACAAAGCUAUGUGAGUUGUGGGCUUAGAGUGAUAAUAUUUAUAUAAGAAGAAGGAUAUCAUUACAAAUGGUAUCAUAACCGAUCCCUAACCCGGUAUGAGAGUUUGAGUGAGAUCUCACAUCAACAACUCAAAAAUAAGUUUUUUGACGCUUUAUAUAUAAUAGGCUCCUCUUAAUCGUGUAAGCAUGUUUUAGAGUCAUGUUGGCCUCUGAACCAUUAUGGGAAGUAUCUAGAUAUGAACAAGCAGGUUAUUACAAAGAUGCUUAACUUGAUGUGACUAAAUAUGUCUAGAGCAUAACAAUACACCUUUAUGGGCAUAGACGGUCUAUGUAAGAUUAAUUAUGGUACUUCUACACCUUUCUUAUUUGUAUUAUUUGUAUCUUGGUCUAUUAGCCAUAAUCAGAGCCCUAGAAUAGAGAAACAACUUGAUAAGUGCCCUAGAGCCACAAUAUGAGAUAUUUUCAAUUUAUUUAAAAUUAUCUUAUGAGAUAAUUAGUAUGGUGUUUAACGAGCUCUUUAAAAUUCGAUUUCCAAAAACCCAUCCCUUAUCUCAUAGGCUCUAUAACCAGGAGUUACUCUCCUUUCAAAUGUAUGGAGAGGCUGUGAGUAAAUAGAAUUGCUUGAGGGAGAGGGUCUCUUUUUCCAUUGAUCAAGAGAUUGUUAGGCUAUGGAAAUAUGGUGUAUGCUCUGUGGUAUCACUGCUUGGGAGUUAGUAUUGCGAGAAAAAACAGCACAUUCAAUUCAACCUUCUGCUUUAGUCAAGUAUGCUUAUUUUAUGGUCAUAUAAACUUUCUUUAAAUGUCCCCACAAUUAUUCUAUUUUUUUAGCUCAAUAAGUAGUCGUAUCUUAUUUGUCCAUUACUUUAACAUCCAUUCCCUAUUCCAAAAAACUCAAAUCCUACCUCAUAGGGCACAUCAUCCUCACUAACUCCCAUUGUCUAGAGAUUACUCAAUGAGUAGACUGCAUGACUGUACUUACCUAAGUUUCCAAAAUAACCAAUUUCGAGUUAUUUGGAGAAUUUACGCCUCUUAUGUUCCAACAGCCUAUAUUUACCAUUCAAAUCGUCUUUUGUAGGAUUCAAUGCUGAUUCUCUAAAUGAUCCCUUGUUUUUUUCACUCUAUCCAUUUUCCAGGAGCGCAUGAGAAUUUGAGGGUGUACUUUUUCUUAUCCACAUUUUGUGGCAAACUUAGAAUUUUAGUGUAUUCUCCCAUUUAUGACCUUUGUCACACCACCUUGAUAUACAUUAUCACUAUGGGAAGUCAACAUCAAACAUCUAUUUAAAGUAAUACAAGAGAGAGGCAGAAACUUCAAUUUUGAUGGAGAUACAAAGUCUCUGCACCUAGCCUUGAAGAAAGAAACAUUUGAAAAUUAUUACUAAAUUUUACGUGAGGGAAAGAGAAGUUUGCAAAAUACAAGAUGAAAAUUUUUGAAUGACCAAAAUACUAUCUUCAUCCACAACUAACUCUCUACUAGCAUUUUCCUUUGGAAUUCCGCCUAGAGAGUCUCAAACCCUGGUCCUCUUUUAUGUCAAUCUGCAAGCAGGAAUGUUCACAAGACCUUAUAGAUGAGUCUCCAUUAAAGGACUUUCUCUAAAGUUCCACAAAUUUGGGAUCAUAAGAUGCAUGAAGAAUGGUAUCUUUCUUCUAAAGUUCCACAAAUUUGGGAUGCUAAUUCUCUUCCUUCUCCCUCCAUCCCCAACCAAGAUUGGAAUAUUUCCCAAAUUCUAAAACUCUAAUUUGAUCAAAACUAUCCUUUCCCUCAACACUUCAAAGUUCUUAGUUGAAUUUCGAUUGUGAUCUUAUUCUGAGUGGCAUUAGUGAAAUUUUGGUAUUUUAUCAAUUGCUAAUUGUUGGAGAAAAGCUCAAAUUUUGGUUGGAAUGUAAUUGCUUGUGCAUGAGAUAGGUGUAAAAGGUGUUUAUCAUGGUCUCUCAUUAUUUGCUUGACUGUUAUAUUUUGCAGAAUCUAAGACUGGAAAAUGGAGUUGGCUGGAAGUUGCUGUUAUCAUCGUUCUUUCGUAGGUUACUGUGAUUUGGAGACUUGGAAAUGAAGAAUGUAAGUAAUAAUUUGGUCUACGCAUGAUAUGAUUUCUGGGUAAAAUGUUCAUAGGACGUUUGAAUUUCAAAUCUUUUGUAUUGGAAUGUUAGAUUUGCAGUUGGAAGCUGAUAUGGAAUGUUGCAGUUUUUACUAAUCAUAUUUUGAAUCUUGAAUAAUUUUCUUCAACAAUGCUAAAUAAAGCUGGAAAUCUAAGGGAAUAGCAUUUGAAAACUCAAAUCCUAGCUUUAACAAGGAUUGGAAAGGAAAUGGAACACAAAAGUGCUUGAAAAUUUCAGUAAACACUAAAGAGAGAGUUUGGAGGUGUGAUUCAAAAAUAGUUUUUUGUUUUUAAAAACAAAAGUGUGCUUUUAGAAAUUCAUAAUUCUGUUUGAUUUUGAAAAACAAAGUGAAAUAGAGAACAAAUAAAAAUUGUUUCCUCUUAUUUUUAAAAACAAAAGCAAAAUAUAGAAAAAGAAAACCCAUAAAAAGCAAAUAAAAUUGAAUAUGAUAUAUUUUUUCUUCCUUCUCCAUGACCCAAUAUCGAAAAUCUUUAAAGAAUCUUCAAAACAAUCUUCGUGUUUUUUUGAAUUUCCUUUAACCUCUCUAAAAAUUUUCAUUAAGCUAACAAAUUUCAAACUAAACUAUGUUAUUCAAGCAUGGGAAUGAAUGAGAAAAGAAAUGAGAUGUUCAUUCCUACUCUUCAUUCUCAAGUAUCAAACAUGACCUUAAGAUUUUGUACAUUUGGUUUUCUUGUAAAGUUUUUAAAAACUUAGGUUUGUUUGGUAACUACUUUUAAUAAUAGUUUUGAAAAAUAGUUUGUAAGAACAGGUUUUGGAAAUUGUUCCUUAAUGUUUUAUAAAACAAAAGUCUCUUUGAAAACCUAAAAAGUUUUUAACCUAUUUUUAAUAUUUUUAAAUAUAUUUUAAAAAUAAUUUAUAUAUUUAGUAUUUUUUUUAAUCAUUUUACAUGUUUGUAUAAUUAUUUUUUAAAACAACUCUAAAAAAACAAUGGAAAACAAUUAAAAGAUAUUAUCUAAAAAUACCAUAUUUUCUAUUCUUAAAAAUAGAAAACAAUUUUUAUUUGUCAAGCAUGUUUUCUUGUUUUUUUGUUUUGUAAAACAAAAAACUAUUUUCGAAAACAGUUACUAAACAGACUCUUAACAUUUUCAAAAAUAAACUUCUUGAACUAAAAAUAUUCACAUUUUUAGAAGGCUUUUAAAAAUGAGUUUGUCACAAUGUUUUUUAGUCAUUAAAGAGGAUUUUCAUGCUUAAGAAAUAAAAUCAAACCAAUCCAUGCCAUUGCCAUUGAACACUUGAUACAUUUUUUGCGGUUGGUUGCUCAAAUACUGGAAUUUUUGUAGUAUCUAACGAAUGACCAAUCAAUUGAGCAAAUACACCAUGAACUUAAGCUUUGUAACCACUACAUAUGGGUUUUACCUCAUUGCAAAGGCAACUGAAGUAAUACAAUUGAUGUGAAUAGGAAAGUAGUUCUCCACCAUGUAAGAAUGCAUUAGACAAUGAUUUUAGGAGGUAUUUUUAGUUUUUCUAAUAUUUGAAAAAUAAAAAAAUUUCAAAUGUUAAAAAAACUAAAAACACUUUAUAGAAUUAAUACCAAACGCACUCUAAGUCUAUCUGAAAAUAUAUGAAAAAAUAAAUUAAGAAAAAAAAAAAAGAAAUUGAUUUGUUCUUCAUGUCAUACUUGAUUAGUGUUUGUUGAAGGUGACACUAAAGUCAUACUACAUCUGCUAGUUGGUUUUGAUAGAAGGGGGAUUGAUAUCUAAGCUUUGAUUUUACAUCUUCUUAAAGCUUUUGCUUGUGUUCAAAGAUGAUGAUUUAAAUUAAGUUCUUAUAUUUUGGUGUUUGUUUCGAUAUUAAUUUGUGAAUUCAUGUUCUGAUUGAAAUUUUCUAGUGAUAUUAUAAAUACAUUGAAGGGAAAUGGAAGGAUAUGAAUAUGUCAACUUCCCUUGUCAUUUUAUAUUUUUUUUUAUUAAAUAAUUAAAAAAUGACAUAAUACUAAUUUUAUUAGAGUCUGUAUUCACAGGUUUCAUCGCUCUUCGAUUAAUGGUUAGGUCUAAAUUAUCCAAUGGAACUCCUAUUCUUGAGUCAAUCCUCUAAGUCUUUAUUGGCUUUAGGUUCUUGAUUUUUUUUUUCUAUGAACAUAUUCAUUUAAUUUGGGAUGAAUUAGUUUGAUGUUUUAUUACAUACCCAAUUAAAAAUGAAAAAAUUUCCUUAAAAUUGUAAAAGUAACCUCCCACUUUUAAUAGUCUCAAAAAUUACCCAUUUUGGACAAAAAUGUCCCUAUAGCUAUCGCUUCAACCACAUUAGCCCAUUCCCCUUCCGGUUUUUACUUUCCCUCAUUUUACCCUUUUUAUUCUUUUUUUUUUCCCACAAAAACUAAGGGAGAAUUAUAUUUUACACCAAAGGCUUGAAAAUAGGCCCAAGAUCCUCAUAUCCCUUAUAUUUGAGCCAAAGACCUAAUGGAUGAAUGAAAAUUGAGUUGAAAUACAUUAUUUUUCAAAAUUUUCUAAAAUGCCUUGGUUAUUAAAUAAAAAAAUAAAAAAAAUAAAAAAUAAAAACUAGCUUUCUCCUCUUUCCCUUUCUUUCUCUCUUCAUUCAACUCUUGUAUAUUAAUUGGUGGAAUCAUAUAAAUUAAUUCCUAAAAAGUGUCAUUAUUUCCAUCAAUUAUUUUUCUCCCAAAAACCAUGCCUAAUAAAUUGAAUAUUGGAAAUCAAUGGUUAAAAAUGAUUAUUACUAUAUUUUUUCAAUAAAUAUUUUUUAAACACCUCAUAAAAUAUUUUUUAAACACCUUUAAAAUAUAUAUAUAUAUAUAUAUAUAUAUAUAAACUAUUUUUUAUAUAAACAUCUUUAAGGUUAUAAACAAUUAUUUGAAUAUUUUCUCUAAUUUAUGAACACUAGAAGACAUUGUCUUAAUAUAUUAUUUUAAUACAUGAACAUCUUUUAACUAAUGGUGGUAAUUGACUUUCAAUUGAAUAAUGUAAUAUAUGUGGACAAAACAUGAUUUAAAUUAUUAAAACACAAUAUCAUCAAGUUAAGUGAAUGUAUCACAUUAAGAGUACGUUUGGUAAUGAUUUUAAAAAACAUUUUUAACAUUUCUAACACUUGAAUAAUAUAAAAUUUUAAGUAUUAAAAAUAUUAAAAACACUUCAUAAAAUCAAUGUUAAACGAGCUUUAAGAGAUAUACAUAUAAUUAUAUCAUAAUUUUCUCUUCUUUUUUCCUCAUACAUUAUAUCUUUUGUAUAAAGUUUUGUAAAAAAAAAAAACAAAACUUUUUGUUAUGUAAAGAGGUGCAAAAAAUACAUUAAAAAUCGAAAAGAGAAUAUAAUGGAAUAUAAAUUAGGUGAAAAUCAUCUUAGGAAUAUAAUAAUAAAAAAAACAUGAAAAUGUGAGGAAAAAACAAGUUUAGAUGAAAUUUAAGAUCAAAAAUAAAAAAAAUAAAUUAAAAUUAAUAAUAUAAAAAUCAUAGAAUCUUUAAAACUAUAAUUAUAAUAAAAUAUUUUUAUUUUAAAUUAACUCGAUAAUUUAAAUUAAUGAUUUUUUAAAGAGAGAGAGAAAGUAAUAAUUGGUAGGGAAACGAGUUGAUGGGGCAGCAGUGAUUGAAUUUGAAGGGAUCGUUGAAGGGGCAUUUUUGUCCAAAAUGGGUCAUUUUUGAGGCUGUUAAAAGUGGAAGAUUAGUUUUGCCAUUUCUUGGGAAUUCUUCCUUUUAUUAACUAACGGUAAUCGGUUAUCCCUUUUAUUAACUAACGGUAACGGUCGACGCGGUGCUAUUGGCAGUUUCGUUUUCCCGCCAAGCAAAAAACUUUAUAUGGCCCGGAGCAUCAACGCCAUGGAUAUACUGCGUUGGUGCUUAUCAGAAAAGCUAGGGUUUCACUGCAACUGUUCUCUCAUCCCCCUCACUCCCAGUCCCAGGUUCCUUCUUAAUUUCUCCUUUCUUGUUUUCUUUUUUUUUUUUCAUUUCACUUCAUUCAAUACCAUGCACUGAUUUUCUUCCUCUGUUUUGAUUCAAUAGAGAAAGCUGAUUAUUCCAUUCGUUUCUUUCUUGGGUUUCUUUUUCUAUUUUUGAUUCAGUAGUGAAAUUGAUGACAACUCAUUCCAAUAUCAUCGUCUGAUUUUCCUUCUUCGUCUAUUUAUUUAUUUUAAUGACUGGGUAAAGAACUGAUUAUUCAAUUCACAUAAGUACCAUGGCGUCAUUUUCCUUUUUGGGUACCAUUUUCAAUUUUCAAUUCAUUUCGAUUCAGGGUGAGAGUUUUCUUUUUUGGAUUGUGUUUUCCAUUUUUGAUUCGUUAGGGAGAACUGACUAUUUCCAUUCAUUUUAAUAUAAGAGCGUAGCAUUCUUUCUAGGAUUUCAUUUUCCAUUUUUGAUACAGAAGAGAAAACUAAUAAUUCCCUUGAUUUCAAUAUCAUCGCCUGGUUUUCUUUCUUGUCUUUCAUUUUCAGUUUUUGAUAUAGUAGAGAAAACAGAAUAUCCAAUUCAUUUAAACGUCAUGGCGUGAUUUUCUUUCUUGGGUUUCACUUUGAAGUUUCUGAUUCAGUAGAUGAAUCUGAGUACAGAAAACUGAUGAGUUUUUCUUCUUUUUUUCCUUUUUUUAUUUUCUUUGCUUUGGAAUUAGGAAUUGAAAGACAUGAAUAAUCAGAGACCUGCUCAGGCUCGACCUGUCAUGGAUUUUUCUCCUGGUUCACGCCAGCCGAUGAUCAACAAAAUGUGAGUGUUUUAUUUCAAUUGCCAAUUGUAAAUGCUUUGGGGAUCUUGGGAAGUUUCAAUAUGAAUUCUUGAGAUUGGUUAGGGUUUGAAACUACUAGGUUCAAAGAUACAUGAUUCAUUAAUCUUUCAAUUCCAAGUGGUUAUUUGUUUUUAAGAUGAUAAAGAUACUGUCAAAUUUUCUUUCAGAAAGGUUACUGGGAAAGCAGCUAAAAUUUGUUUCAGCUCUUAUUAAAAUCAAUGUUUUUGCCUUGUAUUUGGAUGCAUGUGCAAUUUCAUCUUGAGUGUCUUUAUACUUUGAAGUUUCACAUUUUCCUGCCUUAUAUUUUGUUGACAUGUGUUGCACUUUCAAUUUUAACUGAUGUAGGUGAUGUCAGUUAGAAUUUUAUGGGCACGGAAUAUUAAAAACGUACCAUAAUAAUGCCAAAUAAAGAGGAGAGCUUGUGGCAAGAAAAUGAGGAUGCCUAUAUGUUAGCCUUCCUCUAUGUAAUUACACAUUAUAUAUAAAUUAUUAAAUCAUUUGAAUGAUUUUUGACAGAAGAAAGAGUGAUAGGGGGGGAAAAUUUAGAAAGAGAGAAAACAACUUACCCAUUGUAAUUAUUGAUAGAAACUUUGACUCAUAGGAGUUGAUUAUACCACCAUAUCUAAAUGUAUGCAUUUGAUUUUUAAAUGCAUGAUUGACAAAUCAUGCAUUUAUGAUCGUGUAUACUUGCCAUAUAUCCAUGAUUGACAAAUCACACAUUUUUGAUUGCACACAUGUGACCCUAUACUUACCAUGAGAGGCAUAAACCGUAAUAGUAGCAAACAAAUUACACAUUUAUGAUCGUGUAUGAUCACACUCUUCCCAAAUGAUAGUAAUGGUAGGUAAAUCAUACAUUUGUGAUCACACAUGAUUAGACAACUAAAUAAAUGGGGGAGUAGUUUAAAUUCAAGACCUCUAACUAACCUAAAAUCUAAUACUAUGUGAAGUUACCAAUUUUCCUAAAAGUUUAGGCUAUUACAAAUUGAACCAUAUUCUAACAAAAAACAAUAUUAGUCUAGGUUAGGCUAGUUUGCUUAUGUGGUUUAAAAAUAUUCUUGGCCUCCAGCGUCUAAACUAGUUUCUCCCAUUGGUAAGAAAUAAGUAUAGUGACCAAAGAACUUGCUUUAAUUCUAGGCCUAAUUGGAAUGUAAGAUGGAACUCCAUGAGCUGGUUGGGGGAAUACAAUUGAAUUUCAUUGAUUCUUGUAUUUGGGCGUUCAAGCUAGGCAAGACUAAGCUCAACUAAGUUCUUGUGAGCAUGUUAGGCACAUUAAAAAUCAAUGCAUGAGGGAGUUCAAAUAGGAUCAUUAAAACAUAGGAAGGAGAAAAAUGGAUUAAAAUUGCAAGAGACAACCUUUUACGUUUGACUUUUUUAAAGGAAGGGAUGCAAGCAUGGAACCCUAUAAAUUAACCAGCUUUCUUAUUGUCUUACUCUCAAACCCCUGCUUAUUAUGGGCUCACAGUCCCUUCCUUAAUAAAAAUAUUCCAUUUUCUGUAAAUUCCUGUUUCAUGCAAUAUUGUUUUCUGGUUGGAAAUUUACGUGACAUGGUCAGUGGACAGAUAGCAUGAUUUCUUAUUUAAGAGUUUUUUGGGGUUUAAAACUUAUCAAAUGAUUGCCUGACAAUGACACAUUACAAUCUAAUGUUUUUUAUGUCUAGCAUGGACAAGUUGAAGAAACAUGUUCCUGUUUCUAGACCAGUGGAACUGAAUGAGCUAAGGAAAGCUGCUGAAAGGUUUGAAAACAAGAUUUAUUCUGCUUCAAGAUCGCAGGUAUAUCCAUCAUGCUAGUAUUUACUCAACCAUUCCUUAUGACCUAUGAGCAUUUUUUGUAUCUAUCCUUUUUUAUUUUUUAAUUCUUAGUAUAAAAGAUCAUAGUGCAAACCAUGAUAUUAUCUUAUCAUAGUUUGUCAUUAAUUAUGUGAUGAAAUGAUGUAUUUUUUAUUUUUAUUUCUAAUUCAGCUUGAGUAUAUCCGGAAACUAUCUUUGAAGAUGCUGGAAUUGGAGACAAAAUCUUUUAAUGUUGCAAUCAAUUCUCUGCCAUCCAGCCCUGCUGCUCGCAGCCGACAAUCCCUCAGAUCCAGGUAACAACAUGAAGGAGCAAUGUGUUUUUAUGAAAUGCAACAAUUGAAAAUUUUCUUCUAUGAAAUUCAACAGCAAAAAUUUUGCUUUUAUGACAUGCCACAAUAGAAGUUCUGCUAACAAAUCAAUACAUUCUUCUUCCACUUCGUAGUUACACUUGACAUAUAUUACAUUUAUUGUGUGCACACAAGAAUAUAAUUCUUUUUUCUAUUACCAUGAUUACACUUUCCUCAUGAUAGGCAAUUAAACAUUUGUGGCUGAGCUUAAUUUAUGAAGGACAAUUUGUAUCGGAUUGGGUAUAGAAGCAGCUUGCUGCUGCUUUUGUUUCCCCCUUCCUUUGGGUUGUUGGGGGUUGGGUUAUGAAAAGAAGUAUGGAAUUGAUUGAAGCAAUGGUCUAUAAGCUGAGCUCCUGAAAGCACAAAGGAUGGGUGGGUAUGGGAUUAGCUUGCUACACCUUUCUUAUUUUUAUUAUUUGUAUCUUAGUCUAUUAGCCAAAAUGAGAGCCGUAGAAUAGAGAAAUAACUUGAUAAGUGCCCCAAAACCACAAUAGGAGAUAUUUUUAAUUUAUUUAAAAUUAUCUUAUGAGAUAAUUAGUGUGGUGUUCAUCAAGCUCUUUAAAAUUUCAUUUCCAAAACCCCAUCCUUUAUCGCGUAAGCUCUAUAACCAGGAAUUACUCUCCUUCACUCAAAUGUUUUCAGUAGCUGUGAGUAAAAAGAAUUGUUUGAGGGAGACAGUCUCUUUUUCCAUCAAGAGAUUUUUAGACAAUCGAAAUAUAGCAUAUGCUUGAUAGCAUUACUAUUUCGGCAUUAGUAUUACGAGGAAAAGCAACACAUUCAAUUUAGCAUUCUGGUUCAAUCUAUCAUGUUUAUUUUAUGGUCAUUUAAUUUUUUUUUUAAAUGUCUUAACAUAAUCAUGCUACUCAUGUUUAAAUUCUUGACAUGUGGGAAAACCAAUCCCAAGAAUUAUUCUAAUUUUUUUCCCCAAUAAAUACUCAUAUUUUAUUUGUCCAUUACUUUAACAUUCGUUUCAUAUUCCUAAGAACUCAAAUACUACCUCAUAAGAGUAUUUUCAGGUAACUUCAUCCAUUUUCGAUAUUUUAGAUCUGAUUGGUUUGGUGUUGAGAAAGAAAUGUUUCAUUUUCAAUUUGGGAUCUUAAGAAGCAUAAAAAAUGGUAUCUUUCUUCAGAUUUCUUCCAAAAUUUGACAGAUUUGGGAGGUUAAUUCUCUUCCUUCUCCCUCCCACCCCAACCAAGAUUGGAAUAUUCCCCAAAUUCUGAAACUCUAAUUUUAUCACAACUAUCCUUUUUGUUGACCCUCCAAAGCUCUGAGCUAAAUUUCAAAUUAAGUUGAAAUCAUGUCGUAAUUUUGGUAUUUCAUUGAUCGCUGGUUGUUGGAGGAAGGUUGAAAUUUUGGUUGUAAUGUAAUUGUUUAUGUAUGAGAUAGGUGUUUACUAUGGAAAUCUGCCAUCUCUCAUUAUUUGCUUAACCAUUAUAUUUUGCAGACUCUGAGGCUGGAAAAUGGAGUUGGUUGGAAGUUGCUGCUAUCAUCGUUCUUUCAUAGGUCUACUAUGAUUUGGAAAUUUGCAAAUGUAGAAUCUAAGUAACAACUCGGUCUAUGCAUGAUGUGAUUUCUGGAUAAAAUGUUGAUAUGAUGUUUGAAUUUCAAAUCUUUUGUAUUGGAAUGUUAGAUAUGUAGUUGGAAGGUGAUAUGGAAUAUUACAGUUUUGACUAAUCAAUCCAGAACCUGGAGAGGAAAUAUUUUGAAUCUUAGAAUAAUGUUCUUCAAACAGUACUAAAUAAAACUGAAACUAAAAGGGAAUAGCAUUGAAAAUUCAAAUCCUGGCUUUAACAAUGAUUAAAAAGGAAAUGGAUAUGUAUUUUUUACAGGUUUAUUUCAAGUAUGAGAUUAGAAUGCCUUCCCUUUAUAAUAUGAAAUAGGAUAAAAUAAAAGUAAAGGGAUUGGUAACUUUUUAUUUUUUUACAUUAUUUCAUAUUUUGCAGAUAUAUUAGUAAAAUUCAAACCCACUAACUUUUUCCAAUGUUUGCAUCAAAGAGGAAAUCCUUUUAGAUGUAAAAAACCUAGUGGAUGUGAUCUAGAAUUUACCCAAAAUAAAACCUUUUAAAAAAAUAGUGUUAAAAAAUUCUUUAGAAUUGAGCACCCUUAGAGCACUUGAGUGCUUUCUAACACUUGCGCACUCUAGAGAGCAUUUGAGUGCUCAAGGGGUUCUUUAAACCUAUUUUAAAACAUCUUAGCUCUCUUUAAAAAACCUAUUGUACAUACCAUGCUUUAACUAAAUCCAAUUUUCUAUUCUUAGACUUAUCUAUACUUACCUAUAACAUCUCAAUUGAUAAUUCAAUAACCUUAAGUCUUAAAUAGAGAGUAAGACACAAUCUAAAAAAGACUUAAGCCAAAAUGUUUAAAACAGAAUUACCACCUUUAAAAAUACAUAGCCUAAUGUACCAAUAGGAAUGAUUAGUGUUGGUUUUUUAAUGGUUGAAAUAAUUGAUUAAACUAAUAGUAGGUAGGACAUUAAGAUUAAGUUGAUUAUAUGUGGGUAUUUUAAGAAAAAAGUUUACAAAUCAUAGCAUAACUAAUUUUUCAAAAUAGAAGCAUUAAAAAUUAAAUUCAAAAUUAAGUAUUAUUUACAAGAAUAUCAAGAUGCACGACAAAUGAUGAAGAUAAUAAUGACAAUUGUCCCAUAAAGAACUUAAGACGAAGAGUAGGGAUACUAAGAAUAUCACUUUUGUGACAUCUCACAUCAGAUAGAGAGGAAAGUUUCUAACACUAUAUAAGUAUGGACUCCUCUUAACCAAAUAGAUGUGUUUUAAAGCUAUGAGGACCCCUUUAGGCCUAGAGCAGUAUAUCUAAAACACCCUUGAAAGAGAUGAGAGUUAAUUUUUUAAUGAUUAAAAUAAUUUAUUAAACCUAUAACCAAUAGUAGGUUGGAUAUUAAGGUAAAAUCAGUUAUAUAUGAGUAUUUUAAGAAAAGAAAAAUAAAAGUUUACUAGUUAUGGCAUAGCUAAUUUUUGAGAUAUGAGCAUGAUAUUGAGUAUCAUUUACAAGAAUACCCAAACGAAGGAUGAUAAAGAUAAUAGCUAUAGUUGUCCUAUUAUAGGAGGAUUAAGUCAACAUAUUUAAAGUAAAAAUAGUAUAACAACUUAAUAUUACAACUUAAAGUAAAAACAAUAUAACUUUAAGUAUUAAGUCAUAUACUAACUUAUUCUUAAUCUCAAAUCUCUUUUUACCUAAUUACCUAUGUUUAGUGAGAGUAUGUUUUACAAUUAUGAUUAUACAUUACUCAUCUUUUAUAAUAAAUAUUUUUGUAAUUAUCUUAUGUAUUUAAAAUACUUUAAGUAUGAACAUUUAACAAGUAAAUUUUUUGCUAAAAAUGAGUAAAAUAUAAAUAUUAAUUAAAAUCUAUUGGCGCUAUUUGACCUUAACUCCCAUCCCAUUGACCAUGACAUCUUUUGUGGGAGGUUUAUCAUAAUAUAUACUUGCAUCUAGACCAAAUAUAAGUCUUCCACCACAGAAGAAUCUAUUGUUGCCUUUCCAGAUUUGAUAAACCUCAUAUUCAUUCAUUCCAUCAUUAUUGGUAUCAACCCAGGAAUACAAAGAAUAAAAUUAAGAAAAUAAAAUGAUAGUAAUAUGAAAUCAAAUGAGUAAACAAAUAGAAUAAAAAAUAAAUAAAUAAAAGACAUGGUGAAUCUCAACAAACAAGCAUAUCAUAACUGAUUAUUCAUUAUAAUUAUCUUAUUUAGUGUGUCUUCCAUGUUGAGAUGGCAAUGCGCUAUCAGUGCGCAGGUUAUAAUCAAAUGAUGGAGCUAAUGAAGAGGAUGACAAGCAUUGAUCCGAAGUUGUAGGUGAAUUGGUAGAAGUGGAGACUAUCUUGCAAUGAUAAAUGAGAUGCGGAAAACGAAGACAGAUUGCAAAUGUGGGAAACUAGAUGUUGAGGAUAAACUAGUGCAUAGGGUGAAUUGGUUCUCAUAUUAUCCAGAUGGUAUGGGGCAUGUUGUAGAAAACUGGUGCGUGAGUCUGGUGUACUGGAGAUGAAGAUGUUUGUGGUGGUGAUCUUGGGGUUGAGCUUGGUCUGGUUCAAAGUGCCAUGGCUGGACGGCUAAAAAAAUGUGAGUUAUGAAUCCUAAUAGGCUCCGGUUGUGGUUACAAGGUGAAGUAAAGGAGAGAUUCUGAUAAAUAGGCAGCCAAAUGAAUCUGGUACCCUUUCUAAACAGCUUAUUCAGAGAAAAUUGCAUUGGAAGGGUCGUUAUGGGUUCCAUUUGCUUUCAAGUUGUUCGAGUUCUCAUGGAAUCAACUUUUUCACUAGUUUAUCCAAAUAUCCUGUGGCCAAUCUCCAACAUCAUCAACCGGUGAUGCACACUAUGCUAUAUACUCGGAACACCCCCACAGAAAACAGAGGAGGAUAACAAGAAAACAUGGCAUGAAGAAAAGAAACGAAAAUACACCAGUGAACUUACCUGAGAGUUCUUCCAAAGCACGGAUAGCUGGAUUUCUCAAUGCCUCUCCUCCAUAGCUCCAGUUUUUCUUUUCAGCUUUCUAGUCACAUAUUUUUCUCUCAAACUCUCAAAAACUCUGAAAAUCCCUCACACAUGGACUGUCCUGCUCAUCCUCUCCAACUUUUAUAUUUUUUUUUCUUUUUUUUUUUUACAGCUCGGGUUUAUUUUGCUCUCCCAUCAACUUUCACUAGCUCUCUCCUCCCCAUCCAUUCCUCUAUUUUUUGUUUAGAAAAGGUCCCAUCUCAACCACCACCAUGGCGAGGUGGUGGUGUCCUUGGCCAUGUGUCCAUGCAUAUAGCUCUCAGCACUUGAAGAAGUCGGCCCUUCCCACUUCUCCAAGAUGCCGCCAGCCCCUCCCACUUCUUCAAGAUGCCGCCAACUUUCCCGAGGCGAUAUGAAAAUAGUGUUCUAAAAAUAACCAAAAAAAACUAAACCAAAAUAAGGGUCUACAGUUUGGUUUUGAAAAAUUUGAGGGAAAAUACAAUGGAAAAGUAGAAGAAAAGAAAAAGUGAAAAUAAAAUAAAAAAAUAGAUUAAAACUUAAUAAUUAUUUUUAUUUGCUACUUCAAACUUUUUUUAUUUAUUUUAACACAUCGAUAUAAUGAUUAAAUAAUUUUUAAAUGCAUAAGUUUCUAACUAGUUUUAAUUAUAUUUUAUUUUCUUUAGUAUUUUUAAUAGGCCAACCAGACAUGAGAAAAUUAUUUUUCCUUAGGCUAUGUUUGGCUCCCAAAAAAUAUUAAGGAAAGAAAAAAAAAUGUUAAGGAAAAUUAUUUUUCCAUAUUUGGUUGUUCUAUGAAAAAUAAAAAAUAAAAUCAAAUAUAAUAAAAAUUAGUUAAAAACUUAUGUAUUUUACAGUUAUUUUAUUUUUAUAUCGAUGAGUGAAAAUGAGUAAAAUGUUAAAUUUCAUCAUAAAAAUUUUGUAAUUGUAUAUUUUGUUUUUGUAGUUUUAGCAAUGUUAUUUCUUUCCACCAUUUUUUUGUUGUGAAAUUUUAUUCAAAUGAAUCUAUAUUUAGAAAUCUAAUUUAAAAUUAUAAUUUAUUAUAAAACAAAGUGGAAAAUGAAGAAGAAAACAAGAAAGAGAUAAUAGAAUGCACGAAGAGAAAUUGAAUUGAUUUUCAUUAGGAGUCUUUCCCUUUUAUAGGGAGUUACAAAAAGAUAAACAUCAUUACGAAUGAUCAUCCAUAAGUUCCAACAAUGCUACAAAUUCCCAUAUUUUAUAACACUCCCCUUGGAUAAUCAUAAGAAUAUAGUAACUACUUCGUUAAAAACCUUGCCAGUAAAACCCAGUGGGACAAAACCUGGACGAAGGAAAAAAAAGAGAGCAAUAUAUCCAUAUUAGUAUUAUCUCCCUCAUAUAGACAUGAUUAUGAUUUCUUCAAUAUUUCAAUUGGUAGAUAUCUUAAUUUUCGCAUUCCAAUGUCAUACUUUAACUUUUUCAAUAUGGUCAAAGGUAAAGCCUUUGUCAAUAAAUCUGCUAGAUUAUUGCAUAAUCGAAUUUGUUGAACAUCAAUCUCACAUUUCUCAUGGAGCUUGUGAGUAUAGAAAAAUUUAAGGGAGAUAUGCUUAGUUAUAUCACCUUUUAUGAAUCCUCAUUUAAUUUGUGCAAUACAAGCAACAUUAUCUUCAUGUAACUUGGUUGCACUACCUCUGAUAGAAGGUAGUCCACAUGUUUCUUGAAUAUGUUGAAUCAUUGACCUUAGUCAUAUACAUUCACAACUUGCUUCAUGAAUUGUAAGAAUUUCUGAAUGAUUUGAAGAUGUGACUCUUGACUGAUCUCUAAGAUAUUGUUGUACCAUCAUAAGUAAAAAUAUAUCCCAUUUGAGGUCGAGUUUCAUGAGAAUCUUAAAAAUAUUCUACACCUGCAUACCCAAUCAAUUAUGAUUUUGAUUUUUUUUGAAAAAUAUAAGUUCAUGUCACUUGUUCUACGAAGGUAUCACAAUAUAUGUUUAAUCUCAUUUCAAUACCUUCUAGUUGGGGCAGAACUGUAUCUUGCUAGCAAGUUGAUAGAAAAUGAUAUGUCUAGUCUAUUACAAUUUGCAAGAUACAUUAGUGCAUCUAUUGCACUAAGAUAUGGUACUUUUUAACCAAAUAAUUCUUCAUUUUCUUGUUUAGGAUGAAAUAGGUCUUUGUUCACUUCAAGUGAACGAACAACCAUGGGGGAAUUGAGUGGAUGUGAUUAUAUAAAAUCAUUUUAAUACUUUCUCUAUAUAUGUCGAUUGAUGGACUAAUAUGCCAUUUGAACAAUGCUCGAUCUACAGGCCUAGACAAUAUCUUGUUUUCCACAAAUAUUUCAUUUCAUAUUCCUUCUUUAAAUAAUUGGUUGUUUUUUGUGAGCUCUUCAAGAGUCCCUAUAAGGUUCAAAUCAUCCACAUGUACUGCAAUUAUUGUAAGCCCAGUUUUCGAUUUCUUAAUAAAAACACAUGGGUAAAUUGGAUUAUUCACAUGUCUUUCUUUUAACAAAUACUCACUCAAAUGAUUAUACCACAUGCGUCCGGAUUGCUUUAAUCCAUAUAGAGAUCUUUGUAGUUUGAUUGGGUACAUGUUUCAAGGUUUUGGAUUAGUUGCUUCAGGCAAUUUGAAUCAUUAAGGGAGUUUCAUAUAUAUGUCAGUAUGUAUAGACCCAUAUAAAUAGGCUAUAACAACAUUCAUGAGACGCAUAUCUAGUCCUUCAAAGACUGUUAAACUUAUCAAGUAUCGAAAUGUAAUUGUGUCCAUUAUAGAGGAAUAAGUUUCCUCAUAGUCUAUACUAGGUCUUUGAGAAAAACCUUGAGCAACAAGUCGUGCUUUAUAUCUUAUGAUUUCAUCAUUCGCAUUUUGUUUUCUCAUAAAGACCCAUUUAUAUCCAACAAACUUUAUGUUUCCAGGUGUUUGAAUUAUUGGUCCAAAUACCUCUCAUUUUGUUAACGAGUUUAGCUCUGUUUGGAUUGUUUCUUUCCAUUUUGGCCAAUCAUUCUUUUUUUCAACAUUCAUCCACAAUUUGUGGUUCUUGAUCUUCAUCAUUUCUCAUGAUGUCUACAACCACUUGGAAUGCAAAUAUAUUCUCUAUGAUAAUGUCACUAUGGUACCGUGUUUCUACAAUGUGCCUCAUUGAGAUCUCUUCAAUUAUAGAUAUUGGUAUUUGAUCAAUUUGUGCCUCUUCAUGGACUAACUGUUUAUCAAGUUGGGUUUCAUCAUUUGACCAUUUCACAUUUGUGAACUUUUCAAGAGUACCAAGCUUUUCAUAUGUUAUUCAUUUUCUUUUUAUAAGAACUGAAUCCUUUGAGCCAAUAAGUCUACCACACUUCAAGCGUGUCCUAGAUUCUCUUUUUAUGGCAUUCUCCAAUUGUCCUUCAGGGACAUCAAUAUGUGUCAAGGUAUUCACAUCCAUAACAUGUGACUUUGUUACUGUCUUUAUAUCUGUAAAAGCAUUAAGAGGUAACUAAUUUGAAAGUCCUUACAAAUGAAUAUAAUCCUUUGAACUUCUAGUUCACAUUGCCUUGUACAGGGAUAAAAAUAAGACAAGGAGGGUACAUACCAUGUAAUGUCUCGUCAUUCUUAUGGAAUUGACUUGCAUUCCCCUAAUGGUGGGAAAAUCAUCUCUUUAAACUAGAAAUUUGCAUAACAUCUAAUAAUAUCCUUCAAAGGUUCAAACAUACUAGUCACUAGUUGAAGAAACUUCUGGUUCUUUAAUGAAUAUCCAUUUGACAUUUCAAGGAGUUGAUGCAUCAUUGUUCACCCCGGGGGAACAAGUUGGUCUUCUCAAAUUCUUCUAGAUUUGCUAGAAUGUCAAGUAUCAUUCAUAUGGAUUCGUGUGCCACUAGUGACAUAAUAUGAGCUCAUCUGGAGCUUUCAAUCAGGUUUUCAUAAAUUCAUAUAUGUAGUAAUGGCAUCAAUCAACUAGUGACAUAGUAUGAGCUCUUCAAGAGCUUUCAAUCAAGUUUCUAUAAGUUGAUAUGGUAAUGACAUCAAUUAUUACAUAUUGUACAAUUAAUGAGACAAACAUCUUAGAAAAUACUUAUUAAGUAAUCAAUAUUAUGUGUAAAUAAAACAUAAACAUGUAUUAGCAAAUAUGAUAUGUACUAUAUUACAUAAAAAGACACAACAUAAGAAAGUAAAGAUCUUACAUGAGAAUAAACAUUUUUUCAUCACCAAUCAAUCAGUAAAUUUUAUUAGUAGGAUUUUUAAAGAAAGUUAUAAUAAUCUAGGUUAGAUAUGUUAACCUUCUAUUUACUAAUAUUUUUCUUCUAAUUUUGGUAAAAGUCGAUGAAAUGUUUGAUCGUAUGACUAGUAUGCAUCAACAAUCAUUUCUUAUUCAACUAUGGUAGGUUUAUUCUACAAACCUAACUUUUUCUUCUUCUUUUUUUCAUUUCACCACUUCCAGUGGUAGGGUAUGAAUUUCUUCUUAGGAAAACAAUGACCCUUAUGGAUUAAGAAGUUAUUGUAUACUAAAUUUUAUUGUAUACUAGAUUUAGAUCAUAUCCUAUUCUAUGAUCGUAUUCCUAAUUGGUUACAGGGAACAAUUCCAUUCCGAUUAGAAAAUAUUGGUGGUUGUUAAUGAAAAAUUCAUUAUUCUCAAUUACAUCAACUUACAGUGAACUUAAAGAAGGAUAGUAGUCUUUUAGUGGGUAUACUUUCUUUUUAUUAUUCUAAAAAACUAAAGGGUUAUCAUAUUUUAAUGACAUAGAAAUUACCCACAACAACAAACUAAAUAGAAAACUAAAAAUAUUUAAAUAAAUUUAUAAAUGUGAAACAUGAUGACUAUUUUAAAAAUGGAUUAUGAAAAUUAUAGAUCUAGAUAUUUAAGCCUCCAUAUCAAAUAGUAAGAAUACUAAUGAUACAUUCAAAUCCAAAACAUAGAAAAUUAAGGAUUUCAAUAAUUGAAUUCUUAAAAAAAGAAGAACUCAUAUUUCAUAACUUCAAGCUAUAAAAUUCUUGUAGCUUUAGGCUAUAAGUGAAACAACAAUGCUUAUAUCACAAUACUUACAAUAAUCUCUAUUUAUGUAUAACAUAUAUUUUGUUUUAUAUAUAUGACUUUAGAUCAUAAAUUUUCUAUAUGGCUUCUACCCAUGAAAGAUUAUAAAGUUAAUUAUUCAAUAUAGAUCUUAGUUGUGAGAAAUUAUAUAAUAUUAACCUUUUUUUUUGUAUAGCGUUUAGCUAUAAUAACAUAUAAAAUAAUAAUCUCUAUAGUUUUCAUUCAUAGGAAAUACCUAUUUUCUUUCAUAGAACUUCAACCUAUCAAAAUAUUUUACACAUUUUUUUUUCAAGAUAUAAAAUAUAUACAAAAAAAUUCCCAUUUAGCUUCAGGCUUUGGGCUACAAAAAUAUAUAAAAGUUUUUCAUAUAGUUCGAGCUAUAAGAAUAAGCAAAUUAAUUAUUCAUAUAGCUUUAGGCUAUAACGAUAUAUAAAUUAUUUUUCAUGUAGCUUCAGGACACCAAAUACAAAUUAUUAUAUAACUUCUAAUUAUAAGAAUAUAUAGAAAUAUAUACCUUCUUGCUUUACAUAGGUUGAUCAUAAUAAACAAUAUUUUUCAUAUUAUCAUAUGGGAAAAUAAUUACUAUGAAUUCAAGAAACUAGUAAUAUUAACUAAAGAAUAAAUUUAUUAGAACUUCUAGCCAUAAUUUUAUUAUGAUAAAAUGAAAAUUUUUGCAUAGCAUCAAACUACAAGAUAUUCUCUAUAUAGCUUCUAGCUAUAAAAUUUCCUAAAAUUAUUAAUUGGCAAUUUAGUUUGUAUAACUUUUAGUUAUAUAUAAUGGGUGUGGGAGACAUAAUCUAUGAAAAAUAAAGAAUAAAUCAACAAUCAAAUUUUUUUAUUAAAGUGACCCCUUAUAAGAAGGAAAUGGAAAAAUGCACACCAUUUUUCCAAUUAUUUGUGUAACAUUUUUAUUUAUUUUUUAAAAACAUUAUUAAUUUAAAUUAGAAAUUAUUAUUUUUUUAAAUUGAAAAUAUUUAUUGUUUAGGGUUGACUAGACUUCACACUAAUUUUUAUCAAAUUUUAAUUUUUAGCAUGACAAAAAUUAAAAUUUAUUUUUUUCAGAACAAAAAUCUUCAUCAUGUGUUUUCUAAGAUCAAAUAUUUGAUAAAUUAUAAUUAAAGUUUAAAAAAAACAUGAUUUGACAAAUAUGUAAGAAUUUUAAUAUUUUUAAAAUAUUUAAAUAUUUUUAUUAAAUUUACAUAUUUAAAUGUAAAACUAUUUAAUUUUGGAGAGAUACACGUGCCUCUUUUCAUAAUAAAGUCCCAAGUGAAAUAAUCAUCCCUUGUCACCUAUUGCUUAAUAAUAUUCAAAACAAACUUUUAUAAUUAAAAUAAUAAUUUAAAAAAUAUAAAUAAAAUUAUAUUCUUUUUAUUAAAAUUUAUAAUUUGUUUAUAUUUAUCUUGUUUUUUUCAUGUUUUAUUUUUUCUUUAAAUUUUUCAUAAAAUCAUUAUUUAAAUUUAAAUCUUAUUCUUUAUAAUUUAUAUAGAAAAUUAAAAUAAUAAUAUUUUCAAGUUUUUGCCAUUAAGUACAUAAACUAUGACUUAUAUAGCUUUUGGGCACAACAUUGAUAAAAGGAGGAUGAUAGGUCAAUUUUUAGCCCAUCUAUCCUCACAGCACAGUUCUUCCUUUUCGAAUCAGGUGAAAAUUUUGGGGUUUCAAUCCACCGAACCCUCUCUUUUCAUCUCGUUUACUUCUCGAUCUUCCUAUUUUUCAUUUCCAGUCUUCUAUCUUCGUCUUGUUUCCUUCAAUCUUAUGCUUUGUUUUGGUGUUUCUAGGGUUGAAUUCAGGAGACGGAGCUGAAGCUAGCCGAGCUUUUUGAUCUCUGUGUGUGUGUUGUUUGGUGGAUUGGUUUUGGGACAGUUGGAUUUUGAUGGAUACCAAUAAUUGGAGGCCUGCUCAGGCUGAGCAGGCCAUGGAUCUGGGCGAUUGGAGGACCCAGUUGUCCCCCGAUUCACGCCAAGGGGCUGUCAACAGGAUGUGAGUGUUGUUUGUUUACCGAUAUUGAUUUUUUUUCCCCCUUUGGAGAUGUCUUGGGAGUGUUUUUCAGUUCAUGCAUGUGUGAAUUUUGAGAAAUGUUUUUGGUGGUGUGUAAUGAUUUUCGUGGACGGUUUUUUAUUGAAUUCUUGAGAGUUGGUUUGUGGAGUUGCGUGAGACUACCGGUUGGACCAGAAUUGAGUAAUUAAGAAAAAAUUUGAAAGCAGGCUUGGACCUGGCUUAGGGUUUGAAAGUAGUGUGUUGGGCUACUUGAUUUAGAUGGAUAAUUUUGAAUUAUUAUUUUUAUUCCAAAGAGUUCAUUUUUCCCUAAUAAAAUAGUUGAAAUUAAAGAUAUUAUUGGCUGGAUAGUUGAUGAGGUUAUGGGAAAUGCAGCUUCCUUUGAGCUCUUGCUAAAAUGGAUAUUUGCAGCUUCCAUUCUGAUUCAGUUGCCAUUUUGUUUUGUCGUGUGUACGCUGUUGCGCCCUUUCUUAGGGCUUUUAAUAUAUUAGUGGAAUUUAUGUAUCAAAAAUAAGUUGCCAUAUUGUUUUGGUCCUAUGUUUUGAAUUUUGGCGCCAAAACUUGUUCGGGAUUGGCAUGUGCUUCUUUUGAAGUUUCACAUUCUCACAUUCUCUCCCUUCAUAUUUAGUUGGCAUGUGUUGCCCUAUCAAUUUUGACUGCUGCAGUGCCGUCAAUUGUAGUGUGGUUUGUAUGCAAAUAAAUGAACUGUGAUCAUUCUAAAGAAAGCAGACAGCUUGUAGCAUAAAAGUGAGGACCCUGAUGAUUGCCUAGCUCUUCUCAGUUAUCUGUUUAUAUAAGCCAUCAAAUUAAUUGAACAAUUUUUGACAGGUGAACAAAUGAUUGAGGAAAAACUCUGAAUAGAUGAAACAAUGUUACCUUUUAUAAUUGUUAGGAGCAAAUUCCCUAGGGCUUACAGAACUCGUUUAAGUUGUUUAUGCCACAUCAUCUUUGACAUUGAAGUUGGUUCUGGGAUGAGGAGUAUGCACAUGGCUUGUCUAGAGGCAUGCUUUUGUGUAUUUUGCCAUAUUCAGCUAGGUGGGUGAUGUAAAACACAUGUACAAUGGAACAAAGAGGAGGGUUAGUUCUGCAUUAAUAUCAGAAGAUACCAUGGAUAAGCUAGUCAACAGGGUUGGGAAAGGAAACUGAGUUGUAUCCUUUGUUAUCAUACGCUGAACUUUGCCUAGAGUGGCUUGUUAAAAAAUCUGUUUAACUGAGGUCAUGGCUUAGGCAGUCUAAGACAAUAGUAAUCUAUGUUAGACUAGUCUGUUAGGUAGUUUAAAGACGUUCCUGGUUUCUGGCCACCGAACCAGUUUCUUCUAUUAAUGUCCAGAAGAACCUGCUUGAAUCCUGGGUUCAAUUGGAGUAUAUGUUCGGAUUUCAUGAAUUGGUAGGGAGGCAAGGCAUAAUUGAUACAUGGCUCUAUCAAAUCCACUGAAUAUUGGUUCCCAUGGGUUGAAAGUUCAAGCCAGGCAAGGCAUAAUAAAGAUUUGUGAACAUUUUAGGCACAUUGAAAAUUGAUUGAUGAGUGAGUUCUCACAUAAACAUACAAGAACAGGAAAGAGGCUGGAGGCAGCAAAAGUAAUAAAAUGUGCAGUAAAUGUCAAAGGAUGACCGCAAAUCCUGUAAACUAGGCAUCUUUCUGAUUUACAUAGAACUGUAGAAAUGUUAUAUACUGGUAUAGACUUUCAACCUCAAGAAAAUUCUGAAUGAAGUUUCUUGUUUGUGGGUUUAAGAAAUAAGGUUUGAAUUAUCAUUUUCUAUCUGCUUCUUCUUUUUCAGUGUAUUCUAAAUUUGAGUAUCAUGCACUGCUGUUUCUGGGUUGGAUAUCUACUGGACAUGGUUUAUGUAUUGCUGAUGUGAUUUACUAAUCGAUUGUUAAGAACUUCUCUGUGACUGCAUUUCAGUAAUCCAUUUAAACCUGUUGUUUAUUUCUUACCUCUAGAAUGGACACUUUGAAGAGGCAUCUUCCUGUUUCUGGACAAGAGGGUCUGCGUGAGCUUAGGAAAAUCGCUGUAAGGUUUGAAGAAAAGAUUUAUACAGCUGCCACGAGCCAGGUAUAUCCAUCAUGCAAAAGUCUUGUAAAUUUGGUAAUCUGCAUGAGGUAGUUUACUCUAUUAAGUUUCUGCUGUUGAUUCUUUUUCUCUGUUGUCUGGUCAUCUAAGCUAUGUAUAUCCUGUGUAUUCCGGUUACCUUUAUGGCUCAUUUUUAUAAAAAUGAUAAUAUUUUUGUUGUGUAUGCUUUAUCUAUCAAAAUAUUUACUUAACCAUUCAUCUCUUCAUCAAUCUAGGAACAUUAUUUGGUAUUUGAUAUAUUUUUUUUUUUGUCUAUUCAAAAUAUUAAAACGCAUAUGUUGGUUGAGUUUUUAAUCUGUGAUUCAUUGAUGUGUAUAUAUAUAUAUAUAAUUUUUUUCUUUUAAAUUUCAGUCUGACUAUCUGCAGAAGAUAUCACUGAAGAUUCUGACAAUGGAAACGAAGAACUCAGCUGGCAAUAGCCAAAAUCCCCCAGAUCCAGGUAACAGAAUGGAGAAGCAAUUUGCUCUCAUGAAAUGCCACAGUAGAAAUUUUGCUGGCAUUAUAACAUACUCUGUCCUUCCAUAUCCAUAUUUACGCUUGACUUAUUGUAUGAUGUUCUUACUUUUUCUUUAUUUUCCUAUUUCAAGCACACAUGCAUGCACUCACAUGCAAAUGUACUAUCAUACAUGUAUAUACCAUUCCUUUUCUAUUAAAAUUACUCUCUACCCUUUUAUAGGCAUGAAAUUGUCUCAAUUUGUUUCCUGUGCAUCAAAGCCAAAUUCAUCCUUAUGAGUGGAUUUUACAGAGAACAGAGCUAUCAUAAAACUAAUGCUUGGGUUUUUUUUUUUUUUUUUGUUAGGCAAAGAGAAAAUAUAUCAAUAGUGCCUAAAAAGAGGGCACACCAAAGUACACAUGAUAAAAACUAAUGCUUAGUUGUAAAAAAUUUAAGACACCGCAAAACAAUACCUUUUUUUAUACAUAAAAAAUGAUACUAUCACUUGUAUAGAUCUCAUCUUAUAUGUAUCUUGUGAUGUGCAUGUUAUAGAUAGGAUAUAUGCUAGUAAGAGAUAAACACCUUUGACCAUUCUAGUACUUUCUAAGAAUUUCUUUUCAGGAUAAAAUUGUCAAAAUAUUGUGUUAAUGGCCGAAUAUCUUGGCCUUGAGUUUUGUAUAUUAUAUACAGACUUUACAAAGAUGCUAUACAUGGAAAGCAAAUAAAAGCAAAUAAAUCCCCGCAUGAUUCUAGCCCUAUACAUGUAAACUAUAAUCUGUCAAAUAAUGUAUGCUAACUGUACAGAAUAAUAAAUGGAGAAAUAAGGAAACAAUUGUGGGCUAAAAUGAGGAAAGAAGUGUGAGCUAAAAUAAGGAAAGAAGUGUGGACAGCAAAGCUGUCCUUUGACAGCCCCCCUCAAAUUGAUGCAGGUUGAUCAACAAGCAUCAAUUUGCUACUUUGCAAGCAAUAUCGAUGAUGAGGUAGAGUAUUGGUGAAGAUAUCAGCAAUUUGUAAGUCAGUGGAAAUAUGUGGAAGAGUGAUAACACGAGCUUCAAAGGCUGCACGGAUAGAGUGACAGUCCACUUCAAUAUGCUUUGUGCGCUCAUGAUAGACAGGAUUGGCCGUGAUCUGAAUAACACUUGUAUUAUCAGCAUGUAGAGGUGUAGGAUCGGUCUCAGAAAAAUCUAACUUCACAAGCAAAGCUCGAAGCCAAAUGAUUUUAGAACAAGCAAGAGACAUCGCCCGGUACUCAGAUUCCAUAGAUGACUUAGAGAUUCUGUCUUGCUUCUUACUUUUCACAAACAUCUUAAACUAAAACUCCCAACGAAAAUAGUUUUUGCCAUUGAAACGAACAAUAGAAUAUUCUCCAGACAUUACGAAGACAGAAAUAGCUUAGGAAACAAAAAAAAACAUCGUCAAAGAGCCUAAAUCUGAUAACAAACCUCCAAAUAAUCGAAGAUCUCCAAGAGCCUAGAAGCGAAGAAACUCAAAGAAAACUCCAAGAUCACACCACAGAUGUGUUGUCACAACCACCAAAAAAAAAAAAAAAAAAAAAGAACCCAAAAGCUGGGCUAGAGUCCGAGAGCCGCUAGGGCUAGAUCCGAGAGCCGCUAGGGCUAGAUCCGAGAGCCGCUAGGGCUAGAUCCGAGAGCCGCUAGGGCUAGAUCCGAGAGCCGCUAGGGCUAGAUCCGAGAGCCCCUAGGGCUAAAUCCGAGAAAACCCAAAGAAAAACUAGAAAGCGUUUAAACUCUAGGUUCAAAACACAAGCUCUGAUACCAUGUCAAAAUAUUGUGUGAAUGGCCGAAUAUCUGGGCCUUGAGUUUUAUAUAUUAUAUAGAGACUUUACAAAGAUGCUAUACAUGGAAAGCAAAUAAAAGCAAAUAAAUCCCCGCAUGAUUCUAGCCCUAUACAUGUAAACUAUAAUCUGUCAAAUAAUGUAUGCUAACUGUACAGAAUAAUAAAUGGAGAAAUAAGAAAACAAUUGUGAGCUAAAAUGAGGAAAGAAGUGUGGACAGCAAAGCUGUCCUUUGACAAAAAUUCCUAGAUUAGUCACUUGGAAUGGAUUUUAUGGUUACCACUGGAUGGCUAAAUGGAAAGGAAGAGAGCCAAUGGUCCUAUUCGAGAACACCACACCCAUGUUGUCAAAGGCAUACCUGAAAGAUUGAAGCUUAAGCAUAAUUUUGUUGCAACGAGUAUUAGGGAAGUUUAUUUGAAUAAUUUAAAUUUUGGCCUUGAAGAUGAUGAUGAAUGAAAACUUUUACUUAGUAUAUUGGUUUUUCUUUUUAGGAACGAGACUUGAUUUGCUUAAUUAGUUUUCCUUUUCUUUUUUACUCCCUUUAUGAUAGGGGAUAAAGAUAGAUUUGGAAAGUUAGAUUCUUAUUAGAAUUGACAACUAUGCUAAUACUAUAGAAAGAUAAUAUCUUCUGCAGAUUGGUUGCCAAAGCAAGGAGCUUCCUUAUUAGGAGUUUAUGUAGGAGCCUUCCUUCCUCUUGAGUGAUUGCGAGGUGUCUUAGGCCUUUUGGAGUCCCUUAAUACUUGGUUUGGUUCUUUUUGUUUGGCUUGAGGGAUAGCUCAUCCUUCCUAGCAUUUCCUUUGUUUUGUUAUACACUAACUAAUUGCUUUUUUUUUUUUUUUCCAUCUGAAAUAAGAUAACCUAUUUUCUUAAAAUGGUUACAUGAUCAGUGUAUUGGUUCCAUUACUAUUUGCUGCAUUUCAGGUACAGGGUUGAUUCUAGCUGCAAAAUUGAAAGAUACCUCCAUUCUUUGUCCCCACAAAAAUUCCAACUCAUUUUGGAUUGUUCUAGCUGAAUGGCAAACAUUUCAAUGCCCUGGCCGAUUUCUAGGGAUUUGGGUUGAUUCUUCCAUGUUUAAGAGAGAGAGAUGACAAUGGCCUUUUCAGUAUCAGAUUUCAACAUUAAAGUGCGUCUGUGAUCUAAAACAACCUUAAGAUAGGUUACUUAUGAUCUCUCAUAAAUAAAAAGAUAGGUACUUAUGAUCACAAAACUGCAGGCUAGGACUUCAAUUCCUUAAGAUUUAUGGAGGGGAUUGACAAACUUUAGCAACAAAGAAAGAAAUGAAAUCGACAAAAGAAAAAGGAGAAAAAGAUAAAUGUUCAACCUUAAGAGUCUUGCUAAACCCUUUUAGGAUCUCCCUGGGAGAGAAUUAUUAUUAUUAUUCAUUUUAUUUCUGUUUUACUGCAAUUAGUUUUAUUUAUAGAAUUUAGGGAACUUUAGAACUCCACAACACCAUAAAAGAAAAACCUAACAUAAUAGUGACCUAUUAGAAUUCUAAUUCUUUUCCUAGGACUCCUAAACCUUCCAAAUAAUAGAGCAGAAAUAUAAAGAGAACCUUGUUGAAUCAAUUGACAAAUUAAAAGCAAAUAAGCACUUUUAGAAAAUAGGAAGUUUAUAGGAACCUAUUAUAAGAAAGUUCUAGAAAAGAAGAUAUUACAAAUUCUAAUCAGGACUCAAAUAACCAAGUAUCCUACAUAUUAGACUAAAGUCUCUUGCCAAAUACUUUUUAAAAAAAUUUCGAACGUAUUUUGUUUUUCAGAAAUUUUCAAACAUAUUUUUGUCUUUUGUUUUCUCUUUUUUCCCCUCUUCUGCAAACCUUAGGAGCACAUUACUCUUCUUGAUCCUUCCAAAUGAUUAAGAAUAUUCUAUAUGAUAUCAGUGAAAAUGAUUAGAAAUGUCAAUUAUGUUUUUCUUCAAAAUGAUAAAUUUUCACCAAGUUACCAGUAAUAGAUUAGUGUGUGUAUUUUUCAAAUUGAUAUGUAAUAUAUAUACCAUAGAUUUUCUUUGUGAUAUUUCGUGAAAGUUUGAGGAAAAAAUUGUUCCUAUAGAUAUUUGAAGUUAAGGAUUACAACAUGUAUAUAUUGGACUACUUUUAAGUACAUGCAAAAGGAAAAAAAAAAAAAAAAGAUACAGCUUUGCAAAUAAUGACUACCCUGAAAACAGAAAAAUAAAUAAAAACUAAAUUAGAAACAUUGACUCAGUUGAUUCUAUCCCGUAAUUUACCCCACUAAAUCAAAUCACAACAUCCCAUUUACAGCACUAAAUCAAAUCUCCCACAUAUUUUAUGAUUUCCCACAUUUAGCAUUUAUUUAUUCUUUUAUGAGUAGAUUAAUUAAAGUACCUUGAAGGGGGCAAACCAUUGGACCAUGGUCUAUGCAAGGAAUCAACCAAGAUAAGAGAUAGAAAAACCGCUUUUUUUGGAUAGGUAAAGAAAAGAGGAAUCACAAAAAAAAAGUGCCCUCCAAGUAUACAUGAAGUAUACAGUAAAAGCCUAAAGGCUCAACCCAAAGGGGAAGGGAAAGAAGGAAAAAACAUCACAUGUCCUUACUUAGAGCCUAACCAAUCAAUGAAGCUAACAAGAGAAAUAUGGCUCGUAUCUACAGACGCCCUAGACCAAGACCACAUUACAUACAAAAGAAUUUUUCAAUCUUUAAAUUGAUAACUUCUUAUUGUCAAUUGCUAAUAUGUUUCUUUCCUUCCACACUAUCCAAAAUAUAUAUAAAGGAGCCGUUUGCCAAGCCUUUUUAUGAGCUUUACCCACAAAUGACCCAUGCCACCCAAGAAGUGAAAUAGAAAAACCUAGACAACACUAAGCUCUUAGUGACCAUGGUAUGUGUGCUAGAGAUUUACUUUGUGAUCUGUUGCAUUCCUAUAUCCUUUUGUUUCUUUAAUACACAAGUAUGAGUAGACUAAUAAAGCAUCAUGAAAGGUGGCACACCCUAGUGCAAGGGGGUUUAUGAGGAAAUCCAAGAAAAAAGACAGAAAUUUUUUGGCCAACAUAGACGUAAGCUCUUAAUUAACUUAAGAAAAGACAGUCCUCUCCUCCUCUCCCAUGGAAGGUCUAGACCAUGUGAAUAAGGAUUUUAAGUGUCUUUAAGCUGAAAAACCAUUAUCUUUUUCUCUUCAAAAGCUCACCUGUUGCUCUCCUUCCAUCUGCACAAAAAAGAGAGAAAAAAAAAAUGCUCAAUGAUGCUGCUACUUUCAUCCUUCUCUUACAAACAAAUGAUCAUAUCAACAAGCCGGGGCGCCCUUUUCACUAAAUGAGGUAUACCCAUGAAAUGCCAAACAUGGAGAAAAAGUAACAUCCAUGAAGAUCCAACCACCUCUCAAUGGAGGAGAAUGUUAUUUGCAGACUCAACUUGGUAACUGAAGUAGCAACGAGUCACCAUGGUCCAUCUCCUCCUUAUUAAUUGAGCUAUGUUAACAACCUUCUCCCAAGCUGCUUCCUAAGUGGAAAAACCUACCUUGGAUAGGGCACCAGAAUGCCAAAUGCUUCUCACCAACAAUGAAGGGAAUGAAGACGCGAUAAUAGGAGGGACAAUCCUAUAAAAAAAAUUAAUCCAAGAAGCACCUCUUUCUAGGUGCCUUCCAUCAAAGUGAAUCUUUUAUUUCUACUGGAAUGGUAAAGCUGUGAAUUCAGGCCAUGAAAGUCACAACCAUCUUGGAAUUUAAAAUAAAACCAGAAAAUAAGGUUUGACUGAGUUCUAUUAUUCUGGACUGUUUAGUUUAGAUAAGUCCUAGUGUGCUUAAAUUUGUUUUUAUCUCUUGUUUGAAUUAGAGAGAAUAUCCGAUGAUAUUCUAUGGGAUUGCUUUGUUUAUUUAAGUUCUUGAUGUAAACCAAAAUUUUUUUGAUAUAGAGUAUCAUUCAGUUUCUCUUCCAAAUUCAAUAUGUAGCAACAAUGCAGCAGAAUAAUGUGCCAAGCUUACAGCCUAGUUCUAUGUCUUCUUUAUGUGGCCUGUCAAAUCCACAGCAGAAUAUAAUAAAUUGACUACAACCCAGUGCCAAUUUGGAUUCAGGACAAGGAAAUGCGCUGACUUCAUUGCAGCAGAACAUUAAUCAAUUUCAGAGAUUGAAUUUAGAGUAAGGUAAUUUCUCUUUAGCUGGCUUAAGCUUCUCGUGAAACAUGUUUAUUUCAUUCUCCUACAAAGAUAAUUCUAGAGUCAGAUUAAUCCUUGAGGUAUUUAAGUAUCUAAAACUGAUAACAUAAGAGUAUUUUCAGCUAACUUCAUCCAUUUUCCUGAUUUUAGUUCUGAUUAAAUAUCUUUUCAUAUGGCUUGGUGUUGAGAAAGAAAUGUUGCAUUUUCAAUUUGGGAUCUUAAGAAGCAUAAAAAAUGGUGUCUUUCUUCAGAUUUCUUCUAAAAUUCGACAGAUUUGGGAGGUUAAUUCUCUUCCUUCUCCCUCCCACCCCCAACCAAGAUUGGAAUAUUCCCCAAAUCCUAAAACUCUAAUUUUAUCACAAAUAUUCAUUUCGACCCUCUAAAGUUCUGAGUUGAAUUUCAAAUUAAGCUGAAAUCAUGUCGUAAUUUUGGUAUUGCAUUGAUCUCUGGUUGUUGGAGGAAGGUUGAAAUCUUGGUUGUAAUGUAAUUGUUUAUGUGUGAGAUAGGUGUAAAAGGUGUUUACUAUGGAAACCUGCCAUCUCUCAUUAUUGUGUAACCAUUAUAUUUUGCAGACUCUGAGGCUGGAAAAUGGAGUCAGUUGGAAGUUGCUGCUUCAUAGGUCUACUAUGAUUUGGAAAUUUGCAAAUGUAGAACCUAAGUAACAACUCGGUCUACGCAUGGUGUGAUUUCUGGAUAAAAUGUUAAUAUGAUGUUUGAAUGUCAAAUGUUAGAUUUGUCGUGGGAAGCUGAUAUGGAAUGUUGCAGUUUUUACUAAUGAAUCCGGAACCUGGAGAGGAAAUAUU
rnacentral:lncRNA from 1 species